UCCAUAAGGUUGAGUGAUCUGAUCUGACAAAUGUUACACUCAUGGUUUUAUUAUCCAUCAACUUUGUCUUUCUCACUAUGCUUAAUGUUAGAGAAAACAAAUACACUUUUGGUUCUGUUGGUGUUUUCCACCAACAGGGCCCAUGCACUUGAUCUCUGCCUUGUCUCUAUGAGCAGGUACACUUUAAGCAAACUAUGAAGGACUUUUACAACUCCCAGACUACACCAAGUGAAGAACCUAGAUCUACGAGUACAAACAUAAUGGAGAUACUGCACACUCAGGCAAUCACUGCCUUAAGAUGCUUGAGGACGUAACUAUGAGAGUAACCCCGUUGUGGAAGUAAUUACUGACCUUCUGCUGGUUAAGAGAGGCGAUCCAGGACGCACCGUCAUCCCGAUCUCCAUCGGCAUGGUGGACUUCCAAGAAGCACUCUACAACUUUGGCUCCAGCGUCAACAUUAUGCCCAAGGGAAUAUUGAAGAACCUCUACGUCCGAGUUGGUACCUUGGAGGCCAUUCCUAAACACUUCGGGAGCUGUCAUCUACGCUAGUGCUGCCAAGAUCAGUUUCUACAUCAAGGGGAAGAAGGAGAUGUUUUCCUUCAAGAAACAAGACUACACAAAAUCCCAGAGCAAUCCCGACAUGAACCAAGGAAGAGGACCAACAGGAGGAAUAGGAACAAGCAAAUGUGUACCGAGUCAGCUAAGAUGGUCACUGCAGCUCAAGGAGGUCAAGAUCGUCAACUCAAGUCACCUUUCUUGAUCAAGAAGGACGACCCUGGUGUUCCAAGCAUCGAGUGCACAAUCAACGGAUAUUCUUUUCAGAAGACACUCUACGACACCGGAUCUAACGUCAACAUAAUGGCCGCAGUCACUUAUCAGCUCCUGCAUGGAACCAUGUCCCUACAACCAACAUACAUUCAGCUCCAGAUGGCAGAUCAGACAUUCUGAAAGAUUGAAGAUUAUUGACAUGGGAGAAGACGAGUACGAUCCACCCAUCAUCCUUGGAAGACCGUUCUUUAGCACCAUUAAAGCAAUCAUAUACAUUGGAACCAGAGAAGUCCACAUGCACUUCCUCUCAGAGAAGGUACGCCACUGUUUUACUGACCCUAACUAUAUAGUUGAAGACUCUAAGUAGGUCAGGACAAGAAGAUGACGACGCAACCGCAACCAGAGGAGGCAAAUCAUCAAGGACGGAUGGGUAGACUCCGAAGGAGAAGUAGUAAGGUCUGAAGACAUACAGCUUGAUCAGAAUUGUCCUGAGGAGACCGUAGCACCGAGUCAGGUGUGGAGAGAGAAGAUAGUUAUACAUGAAGAGCAGGCGCCGCCGGAACCACCGACUACGCCAUCCAGCGAAUCCCAGGACGACUGAGAAAACGGAGAGUCCCGUUCGGAGGACUUAAAAACACCGAACACCUUGCCAAGAGGUAAACUUGGUAGUUAUCUUUUUCCUUUCAAUUAUUUUAAAAUAGUUUGCUUAGUUAAUCAGGUUCACAUCAUCUUAAAAAGAAAAUAAAAAUGUUAAAAAUAGUAAGUCCCAUGUGAGUAUGCUCAUGGCAUAAAACCCAUAAGUACAUUCACUGUGGUGGCAUAAAAAUAAAAUAAAUAUAUUCCUGUCCUAUAAAAAUAAAAUUAUAAAAAUAAAUUUAUGAUCCUACUAAAGAGUGUAACAUUUAUUGAGGAGGCUCAACAAGAUAAAGGCUAGAUAUUUAUGCUAACACUUAACCAGUUCCACAAAGCUUUGUUGUCUAUUUGAGCUCCACAGAAUUCAAGGAUCAAAGAAGACUAGCAGACGGAGGAUAUCCUAAUCGCUGUCAAGGUGCUGCCGACAUUCAAAUACAUCUCCGCCACCUGCUAGCUACAUCAGAAGAAACUACGUCAAAAUCCAGCUUGGGGGAGAGCACCCCUAUUUAUCCAGCUAAGUAUUCUACUCACGUUUAUACUUUACUCUAAUAAUAAAAUGGUGCAUAAUCAUAGAAACCCAAAUAAAGAUUUUGUGCUUAUAUAUAUCUUUGCUUAGUUUGCUAAAUAAAUAAAUAAAUAAAGUCUGCUAUGAACCCUCAUGAUAAGCUCUCACAUGGAAAUGAUGAAUAAUUGCUCUACCAUGGCUAGUUCUCAAAAUUGAAAUCUCUCUCAAGUUUAGGCAUCACUGUUAUGAAUUAAGAUUUGCUCUAAACCUGAACUUGUGGGAGAGUACUUGAUCUGAAGUCUAAGUCGUUAACGGAUAUGAUAUGGGAAGGUUGAGCUGCUGUUUAUCUGUUCCUAGAGAUGCUAGAAUUCUGGAGAAUUUUAUCUUUGAAAAUCUUUAAAAUGUUACAUGAUGAGUUCUUGUAGGAUGAGAGUUUAAAUUCCUACCACAGCCAUAUAUACAUGCUUGCUAAACUUUGAGCCACACAUUUACUUUUUACUGCUUAUGAGCAUUGAGUGUGGUCAAGCUGUGUAGACCCUUAGGAGCUUGUCAUGUGGUUAAAAUCAAGAUUCACUUGCAUGUUCACUCAUACAUGUUGCUUCUACUCCGGAAGUACGCAUCCACAUAUAUCCAUCCAUUUCCAUCUCCAGAACCACCCAAAAAUAUUCUACUCCUAAUCAGGGAGAGAAUAGCCAAAAACAUUUCUGUUUUCCCUUGUGAAAUAAAUGCUCAAGUUAUCUUGUUACUACCACUUGCUAUAUUAUCUCAUGAGAUGAGUGCUCUAAAAAAAGAAAAGAAAAAAAAGAUACGAGGAAAUAAAAAGGGGCAAGUGCCCGGAACCUCGAAAGAAAAGAAAAAGUGAGAUGAGAGGUAAAAAUGGACAAGUGUCCGACAGUAGAAUUAGGGGUACAAGAUACCCACCUGAGAGAAAAGAAAAAAAAGAAAAUAUAGAGCAUCUCAUUCUCCUCAAAAAGUUUUAAAAGAGCAAGAAAGGUAUGUAUCCCCUCAAAAGAGCACAAGUAGAAUUAGACUUUCACCAUUGUUAUCACCAUCAUCACCAUACACCAUUCAUUCGCCACACAUGCACAUCUUCAUUUUACUUAUUGACUUGUUCUUCUAGAUCCAUGGUUUGACUAUGCAAUAAAUGUCUUGUAAGUAUGUAUUAGCUGUCUCCCACCUAUGAGCUCCAGAUAUCAAAAGCCUUAUUAGAGUAGGGUGAGAGAGAAGGCAAUGUCACUAUGCCUUAUACUACAAAUACCACAUACUUUGAGAGAAGGCAUAUACCAUUACUGCCUUGGUAAGGAUCAGAAAUACCUCAAAAGAGAGACUAGAGAGAGUCAUACAAGGAAUCUCUGAGUUUUAUUUGAAAAUCUGCAAAAACUCCAGAGCUAUAGCUGAUCAAGAAUAAGAGACAUGGUGCUUGACUAGACCGUUCUAUCUUUUAACUACUCAAGACAGAAGUGACGGUUACAAGUCCCAUGGUGAAAGGUAAAUGAGUAAGUUUUAAGUCUUAACAGUUUACUCUAACCAGAGAUGAGAUCUUGUUUAAACGCAUGUGGAUCUUUAAGUUAUGAAACCACUGCAGAAACUCUUGAGUUCAUCUUUGCUCAGGGACGAGCAAAGGUUAAGCUUGGGGGAGCUUGUUGACGGUCCUUAAUGCUCACAUUUAACCAUCAACUAAUCAUAGAAAAGGAUCCAAAUGCAACCAACACCUAGACUUAGGGUUUUAUCUGACAGAAUUCCACAAGUUUUGGUGUUUGUCUAUUUCUGCAGGGAGUUAUCAGGAAAUACGGAAGAAAGGCCCACACGUCGGGUUUACAUAGAGAUAUUAAUGUGCCGCGCAAUUUUCUAUCAUCUAGAAGACUCCAGAAGCCACGGGACCGAACCGGAGGCCGAGAGGACACAGGGACAGGGCGCCCGCCCUCCUUUCCUGGGCGCCCGCCCUCAGCCAGAGUCCAAUCAGGACUCUCUUUCGGGAUAUUGCUCCACCGACCUAAAGGAUCAAGGAAAACCACACGAUCAAUGUCGGUUUGAUCCAACGGCCCAGAUUCACUUGAAGGGACUAUAAAACCAGACCCCCCUGGCCCCUGGAGAUCAUACCUCUUCUACAGAAUCAAAGCUAGGGUUUCAAUUCUUCAUCCAAGUAGAGAGGAUCCCUCUAGUUCUUCUAGUUCUAUCUCUAGUUCAUCUAGAUCUAGUUCUAGUUCAUCUAGUUCUAGUUCUAGUUCCUCUAGUUCUAGUUCUAGUUAGUUCUAGUUGUAAUCUAGAAAAUAGGGAGAGAGAAGAGGAGAGCAGAGGAGGAGGAGCCGGAUCUGUCGGAUCUUCCUCAACAUUAUACUUUUGCAGCAUCUGGUUUGUUCUUCAUCGUUCUCCAGGUUCUUCAAUUCAUAAUCCUGAGUUCUCUAAUUACUUUUAUUUACAUUCAAGUAAUUUAUUGGAUUCCCGCUUGCAUCAAGUGCUCUAGUCUUUAUAACGCUAGAGUAGUAAUUAAUAGAUUAGACGUGGUGUUUAGUCUUGCGAUUAUCUAGAAUUGCACCCAAUCCUGCGGAUUGUUGUGGUAGCCUUAGGGUAGUGACAGCCCUAACGGUCGACGUAUUCCACCACGUUCGGAUCGGUGUUUGUAGGACCGUAGUCAGACCUUCCUAGCCCCCUUCUCAUCUCUUUCCGCGGUUAGUGCUCUGAUGUCCCGAUAUAGAUAAUCUUGAAGUAAUUCUUGAUUCUUAGAUCAACUAGAGAACUCUCAGGAAACUUCCUCUCUUCCCACCAAAAAUAAUUAUAUAGUUAUCCUUGGGCGAUCUUGGAUCUUAAUUAGUACACUCACGUUCCCUGUGGAAAAUCGAUACUCUGGAAUACUCCCGGGUGAAGGCUACAUCGGUAUCCGUGCGCUUGCGGAUUUUUCUGUUUGCGUUUAAAAUACCCAACAAAGACCAAGAAUGUGAUUCUUAGGAACAAGCAUAAAGAACUAAACAUGUUGAGCUAAUUAGAUUGGAUCAAAUGAGGUUGUAACUCAAAGCAUGUUUGGUUCUCUACUUAUGUGCAUGAUAGGAUUAAGGAGGAUAAUUUGGAAAUAAAGAUCACUUACCAAGAGAUGUUACCCUAGUAUUGAAACAUGUUGAAGCCAUAACAUCUUGUAGAAGCUUUCCUUUCUUGGCUAGUCAUGUGCCUUGCUCAUGGACAACUUGUCUCCUUUGUUGUACUCCUUUCUUACCUUAUGCCAUUAUUUGCUCUCCGUCUAAUUUGUGCUUGGACCUUUAGCUCUUCUUAUUAUUUUAUCCCUAUAAAUCAUUAGUGGACAACACAUACCUGAAGGAGUAUACAAAUAAUGACAAGGGCAUAUUGUUGUAACACAAAGCUAAGGGGCACUUUCUAUGCUACAAAAGAAGUUGUUUUAACAUACUUAUCAUAGCACAUUUAUUAUUCACAAUUACUUAUUUCUAAUGGAUUGAUUUUAUUUUCCCAAGUUAUGUUUUGAUUUUUAAAUAUAGGCAUUAUGAAUCAACUCAAACUCAUAGAAAUAAAGCAAUAGUGAAUUUAGGGAUUGCAAACCAGCAUAUGGAGCGAUGAGGAAGAACUUGGUUGGAUCAUCUAGAGGAGUUGACCUUCUUCCUCAUGUCUCAACUUCUCAACCUCAUAGGUGAGAGUGCAGAAUGUUGCAUGCUUUUCUCUUGUCAAUCAUUUCUUGAUUCUUGAUAAUUAGUGGUUGACAAGAGAAUGCAACUCCAUGGAGUAAGUGCUUUGAUGAUGGAUCAUGUUUUGUGGCACCCUUCUGUCUUCUUGGCUACGAGUGAGUUGUGUCUCUCUUGUGCACAAUUAUUGUGUCUCUCUUCAUCUCUAGUGUGAGUUCAUCCCAGGACUUUCCCAAUUUGUAUUUGAGAUUCUCCUGCAGGGGUUAGUCCAACAAAAAUAUUCCAAUAUCUACUAUAGCAUACUAUCAGCUCAAAAAUCAACAUAGACACCAUGUCUAAUUUGAUUCAAGAAGGCAUUUUCACCUAAGCACCAUGCUUAAUUUAAAAGCCUUUUAGAAGUAAGAUCAACACACCUUUUGGUCCAAAAAUUAAACUAGACACCUUGUCUAAUAUAAGUCAAAACAAUAGUUUAAACUAAGCACCUUGCCUAAUUUUAAAAGGUGUCUAAAAAGACUUCAAAAGUCUACGCAUACUAUAGUAAACAAAGGUAGCAUGAGAGCAUUAUAGUGAUUUACUCAAUAGUGAUGAUAGAGUAUGAUCGCAAUGAGAAAUAUUAUUAUAUUUUUAGAUGUAGAUGAAUUGUAUGUAUGCAAGGAACUAAACAUGAUGUGGAUGAGAAAACUAAAUGAAGUGGAUGCAUGGAUGAUUCAAAGUAGACAUGUAGUGGUAUGCGAGGAAAUAAAAAUAUAACUACUCAUAAGUUUUAAAGCCUAGUAAGACUAUCUCACCCUGAUCAUACUUGCCUUGAUGCACAACUGGGAUGAGUGGUGUAGCAUAAAUAUCUGUCACAUGUGAUGGGGGUUGUAUUAUUGUGACGACAACCUUUUCUCCAAUCUACACAUGGUUAGAAUAAAUAAUAUAUAUGUGUAUACACAAACUUGUGAGAUGGCAGGGUUCUUGAAUGAUGGAUCUUGAAUGUUCAAACACUCUGGGUUCUUUAAUUUUGUGGAAUCUUGUCACAAGGUCGAAGCGGCAUCUGAUGUCCUAUCUAUUCCACACUCAACAGAACAAAGGGGUAAUCCUACUAAAGCUAAUUGUACACUAAAUUAGCAAACAUCAAGGUUGUUAUUAGAAUCUUUAUGCCAAUUGCUUCCCCGGCAACGGCGCCAAAAAUGUUUGUUGGCAUUUCUUAAUGCAAUCACCAAAGAUACGCAAAAAGCCUAAUCCCCAGCAGCAGCGCUAGAAAUGCUUAAUGACAUUUGUUAGUGCAAAAAGAAUUAUAAAAGAUUCCACAAGCGCACAAAACAUCAUCGUAGCAUUUUACCGGGAGUAUUCCAAGUAUCGUUAUUUACAUUUUACCACAGGGAAGCAGGGUUAAGAAUCUAAUAAUUCACUAUCCUACAUCUACUAACUUAGAGUAUCAACUAAACUAAUGUAGGGGUAAAUAAUGUACUAUAAGAUAAUAGCAUAUAAGAGAAUUCAAUGAUAAAUGUAUAGAUAGUCAUAGCGGGAGGACAACGAGAAAGAUCUAGGUUCAUUUGUACUUCUCUAUUACUUAGGUUCUAAGGCAACAGAAUAUGAAAAGAUAUAGCAAUCAUACAAUGGCACUUUGGAGCAACAGUACCUUUCCGACUCUCGAAAGAGACUGGAAGAAGGUAGUCAGGGGAAGGCUGCCAAGAAGCUCUACGAAACAUCAAUCCGAACGUGGUGGAAUACAAAGGCCUAACAGGGCUGUCACCCCUGGGGCUACCACAACUAUUUGUGGGAUUGAGCGCAACCUCAAGUAAACUAUAGCCUAGACACCAUGUCUACACUAGCGUUCACUGCUCUAAUUACCAUGAAUAACUAGAGCACUCAAUACGAGCAAAGAUCCCAUGCCAAGAUAUAACAACUACACUAAUCAUAAAGAGGCACAAACUAAAUAGAAAAGAUAAUAUAUUAAAGCAUAAGUUUUACAAAUAAGAGAUAUGAAAACAUACCAAAACUCUGAAGAAAACUCCUCCAGAACCAGAGCAUAGCUCCGCUCUCCCUAACUCCCAAUUAGAACUAAUCUACUACAUUGGAAUGUCUAGCCCUAAUUCUCUAGAGAAGAGAGGUCAUCCAUUCGAGGGAUGUCUCUACAACUCAUAAUGAUUCUCCUCCCAAGGGGUUAGUCUUGUAUUUGUAGGGGGCAUCUGGCCCCUCCUCUACCUUGAACUAGUGAUGUGGUACUAAUCUUUCCACCCCCUAGGAGGAACCAUAGCCCUUGGAUCAAACCGACUUAAACGUGCGCUUAAGAUUAAUCCUCAAAGGCGGUGGAUCAGGAAUCCGUGAACCAGAGCCUGAUUGAUUGAGGUAGUCGGGCGGCCGCCCAAGGGGGUGGAGCGGGCGCCCAUCCCUUGUGGCCGUUUGCCUUCUUGUUUGUUCUGGUGUCUUCUCGAACCUUCUAGACUCAAGAAAAGUGUAUUUUCUUGUGAAAUUCAUAUUCCUUCAUCCGAGACUCCAAAUAUGGCAAAUGAUAUAUGGAUUUCAAUCAUCUCGAUGAGCCUGUCACCAUGGUGAAGUCCAAUUCAUCAAUUGAGAUACUUUUAUUCAAUGAUUAGUAUGCCUUUAACUCUUUUCCUAUGUGACCCCUACAAAACAUAGAUGUACCAAAACUCAUGGAAUUUGUUAGUUCCAACCUCUAAACCUAUGUUGAUGAGCAUCUCUUUGUAGUUAUAAAAGUUAUGUUGACAGUUAAAAAUAGGAGUUAACUACCAUCAACAGUCACCAUGUGUGAGGGGUUCCUAGGGAUCACCCCUCACUCAGAGCUAUAGCUCCACCUGUUCUGGGCGGACAUCUUGUCAAAGUCUGGUGGGACCGGCUAGCCCCAGAAGCCAUUGAGGGCCAGUGGCUAUACUCUCCAGGUGUGCCAGCGGAAGUCUCACCUCUACAUUCAUGCCUUGCUUUAGUCCUCCAAACGAGGCUAUCAGGAGGGGUAGUUGUACCUCCACAACGACCUCAACAUGCUGCCCCCUAUACUGGGAAGGUGGUGAGCGAAUGGCCCAAGAAGUGGAAGUGGGGUGUUCCCAUAGAGGAUCAACCAACGUUGGACCUGCUCCUCGAGGGAGUGGAGAGGCUCUAUGGUAAGGGUCUCAUAGCGGCCGGCGUGUCAACUGCUUUCCAUAUGCGAAGAGCCCUCCUGCUAGCACAGUGCCCACUUUUCAUGUACUAGAUGGGCUCAACAGCAUCGCUAGAGGGAACACAGAUGUCCUCCUAGGCUCUCCCUAUGGGGGAGGUCACUAAGCGUGUGACUUACACCAUGUCGUUGGGUUUGGCAGAAAACUUCUAGGUCUUCACAAUGCAACAUAGGAGGGGUAUAUUUACGUAGUAAGAGCCUUCAAAGGGAAGACCUCUACCGUUAGUGCUCUAACCUAGUAGUCGAGGCUCAAGCGUUGUAGGGGAAGAUCACCCCUUUGGUGGAGAGGGUGGAGUCACUAGAGGAGGCCCUUGUGUAGGAGUCAAACGAGCAGAGCAUCCUCACAGGAACUUUUUGGGAUGAGCUCACAUGGGUCAAGGCUGCCUUGGCAGUGCAGAACCAUGCCCUGGCCUAGGCCACUAGGGACCUAGACGAGCCUCGAGGUUUUACCCGUUGAUGGGAAGGGAAGGCAAAGAAGGAGGAGGAAGAGGCAUGGGGUAUGUUUUCUUUCUUGAAUGUGACCUUCAUCAUGUCAUCCUACCUCAGGUCCUAACCAUUAGUCUUGAUUUAUCACAAAGCUAGCGAGGAAGCAAUCUGAGGCCAACUCAACGGUUGCAGCCCUGUAGGCUGCCCUAAACAUGGAGUCCAUGGAGCAUAACGCUCUACGAACUAUCAUUACCUCAGUUUGUGACACGCUUGAGGCUGAGGAUAACCGCUCUGACAAAGUCACAUGGCCUCCCUCUACACCUAGGUGGGCAAGAGGCUGUAAGAUGCCCUCGACACUAGUGUGAAGCGUGCCUUGGCCGUCGUGAGCUCCCACUACCUCGGUGUUGAUCUCCUAGCCAUUAGCAAGGGGUACAUCAUUGACAAUGAUGAGAAGUCUAAGAAGGAAGUGCUAAAGCUUGCCGAGGCGGUCGACGCCCCUAGCAAUGCCUUGGCCACCCUGAUUGAAUAGGAGGUGGCACUCCCCCUGCUAGACCUAUAGAGUAGGAGUGAGGUAGGGCCGUAGUGCCCUUGUAAAAGUUAUGUUUUUUGUCCUUUAUCAGACUUUGUGGCCUUCUGAGGCCUUUUUAAACUCUACUAAGUCUCUUUUUAACUUUUGUAAAUUAUGCCUGAAAUAGUGGAGUCUCAGUUGCUUAUUAUUUUUGUCAAAUGGUCUAGCCUCGGUAGUGCAAGGUGAGGUUCAAUGUUAAGCAAUUUUGACCCAAGGCUUACUUAUGUUAUGAGUCUAAAAUUCUAUUUGAAUGUUCUGGGGCCUAGCCUUUGCUUCACUUUGAUUGUAAUCCAUACAAAGUCCUUUUCAAAAUUGUGUAGCCGAUCCUUUCGGUCAAAGGGAUGGUGAGUAGGAAUGUCAUAGCUCAUAAGCAUAGACAGUUCCUAGCUCAUCUAGGCCUAGCUCCUUUAGGAUGGUCUUUUGAUUUUUAGGUCUCUAUGAGUUCUUUUGUCAAAGUGAGCAAUAAGGCUAGAGUCAUAAUAUUCUUAUCUUAAGGGUGAUUGAAAAAAAUGAGACUAGGGGUCUCCCCCUUGUAGGCCUUGAGGGAGGCUUGGUUUUUGUUGAGGUAGAGCUGAGGCUCGCACUUGAGCUUUGAAAAUUUAAAGUGCUGCCGAGCCCCGACCUAAGGCUUGGGUGAGAUCUUAAGAAAAUUUACACAAUGCUUAAAGAUAUUUCUUUAUUGCUUUCUUGAGACAAGGGUAUGUAUAGUGCUUGGUAUUUAAGGGUAAAAACAAUGUAGUUGUUUGAUGUUCUAGGCAUUGGUGUAGACUUCUCCCUUCUCGUUAGCCAGCAUAUACGUUCUAGGUUGGAGUACCUCGAUGAUGAUGAAAGGACCCUCUUAGGGAGGGGUGAGCUUGUGGCAUCCAUGGUUGCUCUGCCUUAGCCUCAGCACCAAGUCGCUAACCCUAAAGGCCCAUCCUCGGAUGCGUCAGCUGUGGUAGCGUCAUAGAGCCUACUAGUACUUAGCCGAGUGUAGGAGAGCUAUGUCUCGGGCUUUCUUCCAGCUGAUCCAGGGCAUCUUCUUGGAAGGUUCUAUUGCUAUUCUCCUCAUAAGCUUUUGCCCUCAGGAGCCAUAUUCUAAGUCUAUGGGGAGAACAGCCUCGGACCCUUAGACCAUGAAGAAUGGCGUAAAACCCAUGACUCAUCUUUAGGAUGUCCUUAGACUCCAAAUGAUAGCUAGAAGCUUGGUGAGCCAUCUUUUGCCAAACUUGUUCAGAUGGUUGGACAUCAUGGGUUUUAGACUUUGUAGGAUCAUGCCAUUAGCACGCUCUACCUACCCAUUAGUCCUUGGAUGAGCCACUACUGCCUAGUCCACACAUAUGUGGUGCUCAUCGCAAAACACUAGAAACUUCCCCCCGAUGAAGUGUGUGCCAUUAUCAGUGAUGAUGCAGUUUGGAACCCCAAACCGAUGAAUGAUGUCGGUAAAAAAUGACACCACUUGCUUGGACUUGAUCCUGAUGAUGGGACAAGCCUCGAUCCAUUUUGAAAAUUUGUCAAUUGCCAUGAGAAAGUGGGUGAAGCCCUCGGGUGCUUUUUGUAGAGGUCCUACGAGGUCGAGAACCCAUACAACAGAGGGCCACAUGAUGGGGAUCAUCUGUAGAGCAUGUGUUGGAGAUGGGUCUGUCCUGUGCAGAAUCGACACCCCUUGCACGUCCACACAACUUCCAUGGCAUCUUCCAAGGUGGUUGGUGUUAACGGUAGAUAACUCCAAAUUUUAACCGUCAACUAAACUUGAAAAUGGAUCUAUAUACAAACACCUAGUAGAUAUAGGGUUAUCACUAAUAGAAUUCCAUGAGUUUUGGUGAACGUCUGUUUUUGUGGGGUGUUAGCUAAAAACAACCAAAGAUGGUCCACAUGUUGGUUUUACAUAGAGAGAAUACCACAAAUAGCAACUCAAUAACAAUCUAGAAGACUCGAAAGAUGGUCCACAUUUUGUAGUUGUACAUGCAGGAUCAAAGUCUCCUAACUUGAGGCUUGGUCCUAGGAUCAUUUACCAAUUCGACUUCUAAUACUAGGAAGUUUAUUGUUCUUAUUGUUGUUUGGUUUAUGGGUUUACUUUAUUCACUAGCGCUAGGGAAUAGAAUAAUUGUUCGUAGAGUAAGCGUGGUGCUUCGGCUAGGAAUACUCAUAGAUACUCCCUACCUGGUCAGGUUUGUGGUAAUAGUGAGGGGAAGUGACAGUCUCUUUGUUGUCUUCGUAAUCCAUGUCCCGUCAGGAGGUAAGGUAGGAAUUAGUGUGCUGGGGUUACGCAUCCUCUGUGGUGUAUUUUUUUCUUAGGUGCCCCCUGUUGGGUAUUUUAAACGCAAACAGAAAAAUCCGCAAGCGCACGGAUACCGAUGUAGCCUUCACCCGGGAGUAUUCCAGAGUAUCGAUUUUCCACAGGGAACGUGAGUGUACUAAUUAAGAUUCAAGAUCGCCCAAGGAUAACUAUAUAAUUAUUUUUGGUGGGAAGAGAGGAAGUUUCCUGAGAGUUCUCUAGUUGAUCUAAGAAUCAAGAAUUACUUCAACAUUAUCUAUAUCGGGACAUCAGAGCACUAACCACAGAAAAAGAUGAGAAGGGGGCUAGGAAGGUCUGACUACGGUCCUACAAACACCGAUCCAAACGUGGUGGAAUACGUCGACCGUUAGGGCUGUCACUACCCUAGGGCUACCACAACAAUCCGCAGGAUUGGGUGCAAUUCCAGGUAAUCGCAAGACUAAACACCACGUCUAAUCUAUUAAUUACUACUCUAGCGUUAUAAAGACUAGAGCACUUGAUGCAAGCGGGAAUCCAAUAAAUAACUUGAAUGUAAAUAAAAGUAAUUAGAGAACUCAGGAGUUAUGAAUUGAAGAACCUGGAGAACGAUGAAGAACGAACCAGUUGCUGCAAAAGUACAAUUUUGAGGAAGAUCCGACAGAUCCGGCUCCUCCUCCGCUCUCCUCUUCUCUCUCCCUAUUUUCUAGAUUACAACUAGAACUAACUAGAACUAGAAAUAGAGGAACUAGAACUAGAACUAGAUGAACUAGAACUAGAUCUAGAUGAACUAGAGGUAGAACUAGAAGAACUAGAGGGAUCCUCUCUACUUGGAUGAAGAAUUGAAACCCUAGCUUUGAUUCUGUAGAAGAGGUAUGAUCUCCAGGGGCUAGGGAGGUCUGGUUUUAUAGUCCCUUCAAGUGAAUCUGGGCCGUCGGAUCAAACCGACAUUGAUCGCACGGUUUUCCUUGAUCCUUUAGGUCGGUGGAGCGUUGUCCGCGAAACGUGACCGAAUUGGUCUCUGGAAGUGGGCGGGCGCCCAAGGGACUAGGGCGGGCGCCCUGUGCCUGAGCCCUCUCGGCCUCCGCUUCGGUCCCGUGGCUUCUGGAGUCUUCUAGAUGAUAGAAAAUUGCGCGGCACGUUAAUAUCUCUAUGUAAACCCGACGUGUGGGCCUUUCUUCCGUAUUUCCUGAUAACCCCCUGCAGAAAUAGACAAACACCAAAACUCGUGGAAUUCUGUCAGAUAAAACCCUAAGUCUGGGUGUUGGUUGCAUUUGGAUCCUUUUCCAUGAUUAAUUGAUGGUUAAAUAUGAGCAUUAAGGACCGUCAACAAGCUCCCCCAAGCUUAACCUUUGCUCGUCCCUGAGCAAAGCUAAAAUCAACAAGAAAAACAGGGGUUACUUUUAUGCCUCUUACUACAGGGUUUUUAAGUUAUCACUAAGGUCUUAAGUGAUUGAAAAACAGAAUGAUCAAGUCAAGCACUAUGUCUUAAGUUCUUCUGUCUUACCUUUGUUCUGGAGUUGUUUGUAAGUUUGCAAAAUAAAACUGAGGCAUUUGCCUUCUUCUCGAAAGAUAUAUAAGUAGAGCUUUAAAAGUUUUAGCAUACUUACUUUGCAUUUUGCUAUGUCAACGCUCGGAGUAAGGGAGAGGAAUGUCAUACUCCUAGAUCAAGACCUUUGACCUUUUUGAAAAGUUUGUCAUCUCUUACUGGCAUAUUGCUUAUUAGAGGGACCAUGGGCUAUCAUUUUUUUUUCUUUUUUUUUCAGUCUCUUUUUUUUUCAAGUGGGCAGCAAGUACCCCUAAUUCUACUGUCGGACACAUGUCCAUUUUUUUCCACUCAGGUGGGUAUCUUUGUACCCCUAAUUCUACUUCGGACACUUGUCCAUUUUUACUUCUCGUCUCACUCUCUCCUUUUUUUUUGAAUCAAAUUUUUGCAUAGUCCCAUGCCUCUAACGCAAUAAUACUUCGGAAGAGUGAAUCUUUUAUAUUUUUAAAACAAAAAGAUCUUGAUCUUGGGAGCAUGAUAAUUCUCUCAACCAAAACUACAAGAAUUAACAAUGGCUUGAACAAAGCAAGUGCCCACAGUUUUAAUAUUCAUAUCUUAUAAGACUCUAGGUAUUAUGAUCUCAUAUUUAUUUAUUUUUUUUUAUGAAUUUUUAGAUUUUCAAAAGAUAAAAUCUCCAGAACUCUAGCAAAACUUGGAACAAGUUAAAUAGUAGCUCAGACCUUCUCAUAUCAUGUUUGUCAAUUACCUAGACUUGAAUCAAACUUUCUUUUUAUUUUAUUUAAAACUUAGGAUUACACAAAACUAUUGUAUAUUACUCAAAAGAAAAACUUUGUUUGGUUUCAUGGUUAUGCAUUUUUAUUUAUUUACUUAUUUCAGAAUACUAGUAAAUAAAACCAAAGGAAGAAAAGUAAUACUUAUCUAGAUACAUGUGGGGGUGCCUCCCCCAAGCUGUAUGUUGACAUAGUCGUUCACUCUUGUAGCCUGCAUGUUUGGUCUCACUCUUCUUAAGCCUCAAAAUCCUGCACAACCCAAAUAGACAACAAAACUUGUGGAACAUGUUAAGGGUUAGGUAAUUGUCUAGAGCUUAUGAGAGCUUAAUGUGAGAAUUCUAUAAACUCAAUCACAUCAAGCUCCUCUACCAGGUUGUUUUGUGGCUCGAGAUAGAUUUUCAAGCGUUGACCAUUUACCUUAAAAGUGUUACCUAUGUCGUCUUGGAUGGUAAUGGCUCCAUGAGUUGAAGUGUCAAUAACCUUGUAUGGUCCAUCCCACUUACUUCGUAGCUUACCAUGCCCAAAGAGCUUUACUCUUGAAUUGAAUAGUAGAACCUUAUCUCCAGGCUUAAACUCCUUGUGCUUGAUUCUCUUAUCAUGCCAUCGUUUCGUUCUCUCUUUAUAGAUCCUUGAAUUGUGAUAGGCUUUCUCUCUCCAUUCUUCUAGCUCAGAUAGUUGCAUCAGACGAUUCUUGCUAGCAAGGUGGAGAUCCAUGUUCCAUUUCUUGAGUGCCCAAUGAGCCUUAAACUCUACUUCCACAGGCAAGUGACACGUUUUUCCAUAUACAAGUUGAUAAGGUGACAUGCCUAUGGGUGUUUUGAAUGCAGUUCUAUAUGCCCAAAGUGCAUCAGGAAGUUUGUCCUUCCACCCCUUACCCAUCUCAUCUACGGUCUUUUGUAAAAUAUUUUUGAUUUGUUUGUUAGAUGUUUCGGCUUGACCGCUAGUCUGAAGAUGGCAUGGUGUUGCGACGUUGUGUCGAACUCCAUGAUCGGCUAGGUACUUCCGGAAGAUUUUGUCGAUGAAGUGGGAACCUCCAUCGCUUAUAACUAUCCGGGGUAUACCAAAGCGAGGAAAGAUUACUUCAUGGAACAUUCUCUUGGCAUGUUUUGAAUCAGCUGAUCGACAAGGUAAGGCUUCUACCCAUUUGGACACGUAGUCCACAGCUACUAAGAUAUACUCGCAAUUCCCGGACAUAGGGAAUGGCCCCAUGAAAUCAAUGCCCCAUACGUCGAAAAGUUCUACUUGAAGAUUAUUUGUGAGAGGCAUUUCAUUUUGUGAGUUGAUAUUCCCAUGUUUUUGACAUCGGUGGCAUCUCCUGACAAAGUCCUUUGUAUCUUCAUACAUCGUUGGCCAGAAAAAGCCACUUUGCCAAAUUUUAGCAUGUGUCCGGAAUGCUCCGUAGUGUCCUCCAUAUGGCGAGGCAUGGCAUCUUUCCAUAAUUUGAGUAGCCUCAGCCAUAGGAACACACCUUCUCAAGAGUCCAUCAGCGCAGACUCGAAAAAGAUAUGGCUCAUCCCAAAGGUGGAAACGACUAUCGUGAAGUAACUUCCUUUUGUUUGCACCAGGUGGGACAUAGCCUUUUACUACAAAGUUUACGAUGUCUGCGUACCAUGGAUCUGCAUGUGUUAUCUUAAGUAGGGUGUCAUCCCUUAGGUAGUCAUUUAUGGGAAGCUCAUCAUGUGUUUCCUUAUAUUAAAGCCUAGACAAGUGGUCGGCUACAGAAUUCUCAACUCCCUUCCUAUCUCGGAUUUCUAUGUCAAAGUCUUGGAGUAGAAGAAUCCACCGAAUUAGACGAGGCUUAGCAUCUUUCUUAGUGAGGAGGUACUUGAGAGCAGCAUGGUCUGAAUAGAUGAUUAUCUUUGCCCCCACUAAGUAAGAUCUAAACUUGUCUAUAGCAAAGACAACAGCCAAAAGCUCUUUUUCAGUUGUAGUGUAAUUGAGCUGUGGUCCAGAUAAGGUUUUGCUAGUGUAGGAUAUGGCAUAAUGCAUUUUAUCCUUGGUUUGUCCUAAAACGGCACCAACCGCAAAAUCGCUAGCAUCACACAUGAUCUCAAAAGGAAGAUUCCAGUCAGGUGGUUGGAUAAUCGGGGCUGAGAUGAGUGCUUUCUUAAGAGUUUGAAAAGAUUCAUGACACUCAUCACUAAAGAUGAAAGGCGCAUCCUUAGCUAGGAGAUUAGUUAGGGGUCUAGCAAUUUGAGAGAAGUUCUUGAUAAAGCGUCUAUAGAACCCUGCAUGUCCCAAAAAGCUACGGAUUCCUUUCACAUUCGUUGGAGGUGGAAGUUUUUCAAUAACUUCAAUCUUUUCUUUGUCCACCUCUAUACCACGUUCGGACACUUUAUGUCCUAGCACUAUUCCUUCCUGAACCAUAAAAUGGCAUUUCUCCCAGUUCAGGAUUAAGUGCUUUUCUUCACAUCGCUGCAAGGCUCUAUCUAAAUUCUCCAAACAAUGAUCGAAGGUUUUGCCAUAGACGGUAAAAUCAUCCAUGAAAACCUCCAUGAUCUUCUCAAUCAUGUCCGAGAAAAUAGACAUCAUGCACCGUUGGAAAGAAGCUGGAGCAUUGCACAAUCCGAACGACAUUCGUCGGUAUGCAUAAGUUCCAUACGGGCAUGUAAAGGUAGUCUUUUCUUGGUCAUCUGGGUGGAUUGGGAUUUGGUGAUAUCCAGAAUAACCAUCAAGGAAACAAAAGAAAGAGUGGUUUGCAAGCCGUUCCAACAUUUCAUCAAUGAAGGGUAACGGAAAAUGAUCUUUCUUUGUAGCCUUAUUGAGUUUUCGAUAGUCAAUACACAUACGCCACCCAGUGACAAUUCGUUGAGGGAUGAGUUCAUUUUUCUCAUUCAUAACAACCGUCAUUCCUCCUUUCUUUGGCACUACUUGGACAGGGCUAACCCACUCACUAUGUGGCACAGGAUAAAUAAUCCCAGCACGAUAGAGUUUGAGGACCUCUUUCUUAACAACCUCUCGCAUAGCAUUGUUAAGUCUCCGUUGUGGUUCCCUUGAAGGUGUAGAAUUGGGAUCAAUAGGGAUACGAUGAGUGCAGAGAAUGGGACUAAUGCCCGUGAGAUCCUCGAGAGAGUAGCCAAAUGCUGAUCUAUGUCUUUCAAGAACAGUGACAAGUUGUUGUGUUUCAUAAUCGGAAAGCUUGUCACUGAUAAUUACUGGAGUUUUUGAGUUGUUGUGCAAAAAGACAUAUCUAAGGCCAGAAGGAAGAGGUUUUAAUUCUAUCGAAGGAGGUGAAGUUAGUUCAUUUUUGUCUAGCUCAACGGGUUCUACCAACUCUUCUUCUUCUUGAACAAAGUGUUCAUCAUUAAAGAAUGGUUGGGCCAUCUCCUCUUGAGUCAACAUUAAGAUCUCCUCAAUAGGAUCUGGUACAAGUUUGGGUUCCACUAUCGUGUUAAUUGAUCUAACAAGAGGAACAACAAUAGUGGAAUUCCCAACCUUGAAGUCUAAAUGACCUCGUUGUGGUUGUUCAUGUAGAAGUUUUAUGAUUGGUCUACCAAUCAAGAGAGGAAUCUCUGGUAUGUCAAAAAUGUGAAAAUCUAGACAUAUUCCAGAGUCCUUGAUUCUAACAGGAACUGCCCUUAAUACCCCAUGGCUUUCUAGAAUUAAUCCAGGUGGACUUUGUAAAAGUUUUUGAGAUGGGGUUAUGGACUCGUUGGGAUAAAGAGUGUCAGCUAACUCCUUGGAAAUAACAUUUAUCCCAACAUAUGGAUUGUAGUGGACCUUCCUAACGGACCGUCUAAUUUGGCACAGAAGAAUGGUUGAAGGAGUGAUGAUUCGAGCUACCUCAGGAGACAGCUCUGCUUCUGUUAGCCAUUCAUAACUUAGAAUAGCCGAAAGGCUUUUGAUGUGUUCUAUGUCAACAGAUUCUACUCUUAGAACGGAUUGAGUGGUCCUUGCUAGAGGUCGUGUUUGGAUAGGAAAAUUCGAGGUGUUUCCAUAAUCUUCAAAAAGAUCUUCCUCGAAUUGAAAGGGAUGCUCUAAAGGUGGUGGUUCAUCAUCCUUUAGUUGGUUUUGCAUUCCCUUAUCAGGAGGUUUCUCUACAACCAAAUUAAUGGAUGGGUCAGGUGGAAUUUCUAUCUCGGUUGCAAGUUCCACAUCUUUUGGUUUAGGAUCAGGCUCGACUUCGUUUUCUUCUUCAAGAAACUCAUCAUAAAUGCCUGUGUAAGGGGUAUUUUCAAGGAUUCUUUCUAGGAUAGCUCUCCCCUCAUCUGUGAGUUUGUGUGUGAAUGAGCCUCCUGAAGCAAUGUCGAGGUGAAGAGCAGCUUCCUUAUUAAGACCACGAUAGAAGUGGUAGUACAGUACAUGGUCAGGCAGAGAAAGGUUUGGACCGGAAUUGGUAAGGCUUGUGAACCUAGCCCAAGCUGCUCCUAAAGUUUCCUUCUCUCUUUGUUUGAAUGUAAGAAUUUCAAUUCUAAGGUCAGCAAUUCGAAAAAGUGGGAAGAAAGCGAGACAAAAGUUGUCCCGAAGUUCAUCCCAAUUUCCAUUAACGCCUCCUACAGAAUGAGCAUACCACUUCUUUGCUCUUCCCAAAAGGGAGAACGGAAAUAAUUUCCAUAUAAGGGUGUCUUGUGUCAUGCCGGAAAUAGAUCGGCAAGAGCACAACUGCUCGAAUUCUCUAAGGUGGGUGUAUGGAUCUUCAUCUACAUGAUGGUGGUGGCUCUAAUAACUCGCCCUUUGGAGCAAAGAAUUUAUAGAUAGGAGUGAAAUCCAUGUGGUGUGGUGAAAAUGGUAAGGUGAGUGUGGUAAAAGGGAAAAGAAAAAGGAUACACGGACGACUUGGUUCGAAACUAGCACAGCUACCGUUCCCCGGCAACGGCGCCAGAAAGCUUGUUGGGUAUUUUAAACGCAAACAGAAAAAUCCGCAAGCGCACGGAUACCGAUGUAGCCUUCACCCGGGAGUAUUCCAGAGUAUCGAUUUUCCACAGGGAACGUGAGUGUACUAAUUAAGAUUCAAGAUCGCCCAAGGAUAACUAUAUAAUUAUUUUUGGUGGGAAGAGAGGAAGUUUCCUGAGAGUUCUCUAGUUGAUCUAAGAAUCAAGAAUUACUUCAAGAUUAUCUAUAUCAGGACAUCAGAGCACUAACCACAGAAAGAGAUGAGAAGGGGGCUAGGAAGGUCUGACUACGGUCCUACAAACACCGAUCCGAACAUGGUAGAAUACGUCGACCGUUAGGGCUGUCACUACCCUAGGGCUACCACAACAAUCCGUAGGAUUGGGUGCAAUUCCAGGUAAUCGCAAGACUAAACACCACGUCUAAUCUAUUAAUUACUACUUUAGCGUUAUAAAGACUAGAGCACUUGAUGCAAGCGGGAAUCCAAUAAAUAACUUGAAUGUAAAUAAAAGUAAUUAGAGAACUCAGGAGUUAUGAAUUGAAGAACCUGGAGAACGAUGAAGAACGAACCAGUUGCUGCAAAAGUACAAUGUUGAGGAAGAUCCGACAGAUCCGGCUCCUCCUCCGCUCUCCUCUUCUCUCUCCCUAUUUUCUAGAUUACAACUAGAACUAACUAGAACUAGAACUAGAGGAACUAGAACUAGAACUAGAUGAACUAGAACUAGAUCUAGAUGAACUAGAGGUAGAACUAGAAGAACUAGAGGGAUCCUCUCUACUUGGAUGAAGAAUUGAAACCCUAGCUUUGAUUCUGUAGAAGAGGUAUAAUCUCCAGGGGCCAGGGAGGUCUGGUUUUAUAGUCCCUUCAAGUGAAUCUGGGCCGUCGGAUCAAACCGACAUUGAUCGCACGGUUUUCCUUGAUCCUUUAGGUCGGUGGAGCGUUGUCCGCGAAACGUGACCGAAUUGGUCUCUGGAAGUGGGCGGGCGCCCAAGGGAUCAGGGCGGGCGCCCUGUGCGUGAGCCCUCUCGGCCUCCGCUUUGGUCCCGUGGCUUCUGGAGUCUUCUAGAUGAUAGAAAAUUGCGCGACACGUUAAUAUCUCUAUGUAAACCCGACGUGUGGGCCUUUCUUCCGUAUUUCCUGAUAACCCCCUGCAGAAAUAGACAAACACCAAAACUCGUGGAAUUCUGUCAGAUAAAACCCUAAGUCUGGGUGUUGGUUGCAUUUGGAUCCUUUUCCAUGAUUAAUUGAUGGUUAAAUAUGAGCAUUAAGGACCGUCAACACCCCCCUUAGAACAAUAACUACACAGCUUACCAUAGGUUAGAGGAAGACUAACGGAGUAAUCCUCUCUAUAUCGCUCAUAUCUCACUAUCUUGUCUGUAGCCUAGGGGUUAAGUAUAUAUUUGGUUUAGUCAGAUGCACACUUUCUCCUAGCACAUAAAUAAAUAAUGAUACUCUAUAUAUCUCGGGUGACAUGCUCACCGAUGUCCGUGCACUUGCGGAUUACUUCUCUAUUUGCGUAUCUAGUAUCAACAAGCAUUUCUGAUGCCGUUGCCGAGGAGAAAUAUAGUCUGUUGAGAUAACUUUAAGUCAGGGUUAACCUUGUAUUAUACUUUGCUGUAUAAUGAUACUCUAUAUUUCUCUAUUUGCGUAUCUAGUAUCAACAAGCAUUUCUGAUGCACUAGCCUUCAAGAUGAUAUCCUAGAGUUUUCCUUUAUUUAUCCAUUAGUGAGGUGAGGUUUGUCCUUAUUAUUAGUGGACACACUCCUUGCACUAGCCUUCAAGAUGAUAUCCUAGAGGUAGAGAAGGAAGCACCCCCAAACUUGAAGAGGAAGUUUUCAUAGCCACUUUGCAAACAUUCUAAUCCCAUGAUUCGGCUAUCCAUCCCAAACUAGCAAUACUCCAAAAUCCUUUAAGGGAAGAAGUAGUUCUACCUUUAGAAAUCCUUUCCAAUGAUUUUGGGAGGAAUUUAAACUUCCCGCUUCAUAAGAGAUAUUUUAGUGCAUAUAGUUUGAAUCUUCAAAACAUAUCUCUUAGAAAGCUUUUCAAAUCCAAUCCCUUUGAAAGACAAUUAGAAAGACUCAAAGAUGGCAUGUCAAUUGAUGCCAUAGGACUGUGAAGCCAUCUAGAAGCCACUCUUAUCCUCUCCCCUUCUAUGCCCACAUUAGAUAUAGAAUAUGAACCCGUCUUUAAACCCAUCCUUGACUACUAUGGCUUGUUUUAUGCUCUUUCUCCUAAACCUCCUGAUGAUUCUAGAAAUCCAUCUAGAUAUGUGUUGACGGUCCUUAAGUAUCAAAUUUAAUUAUCAAAUAAACAAAGAAAAGGAUCCAAAUGAAAUCAACAACCAGACUUAGGGUUUCAUCUGACAGAAUUCCACGAGUUUUGGUGUUUGUCUAUUUCUGCAGGGGGUUAUCAGGAAAUACAGAAGAAAGGCCCACACAUCGGGAUUACAUAGAGAUAUCAACGUGACGCACAAUUAUCUUACAUCUAGAAGACUCCAGAAGCCACGGGAAGGAAGCGGAGGCCGAACUAAUACCCGAUUUUAAGGACAAAACCAGAUAUGCACCAUAUGUGAGUUUUAGAAGUCAAAUCUCACAUAUAGCUACAAAUAAAGGGUAAUAUCAUAAGACAAUGCAUAAAUAUAUAACGUACUUAGUAUAAAAGAGAUAACCUUUGAUAACAAACAGCAGAUAGACAACUCCAAACUUCAGGUAUUAACUCCUCUCCAUAGGAUCAAACUGACUGGUUGAUCACAAGCCUAAAGCAACUCCUGAAGUGAGGGGGAAAUUGCAAGAGUGAGCACAUAUCAUACUCAACAAGUAUAACCAGGGGUUCAUGAGGCUCAAUAAGCUGACACUGGUUUGACUGUGUUUAGCUUUUAUAUGUAGAUAACAUAUUUAAUCAUUGGAUAGCAAAUAUCAAGGUAGCAUAAUUAAUCCCAUAACCACAUGAUCAAUGUAUAUAAGAAUUAUGAAUAACACAUAUAAACAACAUAAUAAACCAUCAUUUAUUAUCAUUAAUCAUGUUCAUCAGUGUCCGUCUAUUCCGUCAAUUUUCUGGGCCGCCCGUAUCCGUGGGCACGGCUAGUAUAGCAGAUUUAACACUCUGCAGAGGUUGUACAUCUUUACCCAUGAGUCGUGAUUUACCUUUUUGCCUGAGGUUGCAAGUCUCUUAACCCCAUUCCUAGGGAGGUCGGCAGGGAUCACUAUGAAGCCUUUCAAAGGUUUCGUCUAACAAGUUAGGACCAUUAGAUUCACUCGGCAGGCAGAUAUAGAGCCCCCUUCCAUGGCACAUAACCCGCAGCCUAUACACAUGGAUAGAGGCCACACUAUACCCAACGUGUCUAGCCAUUCUUACGCCAUUUAAGGUAACCGCUAACAAGCUAGAAAAAGGUCCUCAUACUGAGCUAAAACCAGAGCCAUAUAGCCCUCAUGGUUGUACGAGUUGUCCCACCUUUUGCCAAGGGAUAAGUUCUUAUGGAGGGUCAAGAUCAAUCUAGCAAAAGCUAGAGUUCUUUCCACCCUUUAUGUUCAAGUUGCUAGAAAGCUUAUUUUAUUGUUUAUUGUAUAUCCAAAUAUUCAUGUUACAAGAUCAUGGAUUAUUAAUCAAGCACUAGCAAGAACUACCCAAGUGCAUAUCUAAAAUAGGUAACAAGGAAUUCAGGAUAACAAUCAUCUAUGAUUUUGCUAAGGUCAUCAAGGUGGACACAUGCAUAUGAUAAAUAUUGUAUUAAUUGUGUAUAGGUAACAAGGAUGAUCUCUAGUUAUACUUGCCUUGAUCAAAGCUCUCCUGAGCCUGCUGGUCUUCAAAGGCUUGGUCUUGAUCACCAACGUACGGCUCACCGUCUAUUCCCAAACAUGGAUCAACAACACGCAAUCCAAUGUAGACAAUCAUACACAAAGCAAACAAGCUAUAAUUAGAACAUUACACCAAUAGUGAGAAAUUAAAGAUAAAAGUUUAUAAAAAUAUUCUCGCAGCGCUACGAUCACACAAACGUAAAGUACACGAAAAUCGGAUUUAAAACGUAGAAGUUAUGAUUUUUUUCUAAGAUUUCUUAUAGAUAAUUAAUUAAUUAAAUGCUACUGCAAAAUUAAAAAGUUUCAAAACAGUGGACUAAUACUUCUAACAUGUAGAGCUCGUAAAAAUGAAUCUAACGCAAUUUGAAUAGGUCAAAACGGAGUUAAGAUGAAUAUUUUAUGGCCAAAAAAAAGUCAGUGGCAAAUUCUGUAAAUACCUCAUCUUGUUACCUUGAGCACGUACACAUCAGGCCAUGGCUGAUUCGGCCUUGCCGACCAGCGCAGGGAUCAAAGACGGCUUGGAGAUCGCAGGGGCUGGCUCUACAAAAUUUCGCGCAGUCACAGACAAGUCUCCAAUCUUGAUUUCAGCGAGGAAACGAAACAUCCGCGCUUGAAGGUAGGCAUGGCUGUAUAGGCGAUGAUGGCGAUCACGUUGUAGAGAAGAAAAUAUAAAUUUUAUUUUACUACCUUAAGAAUUCUCAAAUUAGAGACUUCCCAUAUGAUAGUCUUUGAUGUGCUUUGCCUAAGGGGUUGGUACAUAUAUAUAGGGAGAAAAACUCCCCACCUCCACGUCAACUAGCAAUAUGGUACUAAUUGAUUUGCAACCUUCAUCUUCACUAAUAGGUCUAAUUAAUUAUUAAAGCCCAUUAGUAAAUAAAUACAUGGUUUUUAUGAUUUAUUAUGGGCUUUGACGUUGGAAAAAUAAUAAGAGAUUUAUUAUUUUUGGAAUUAAUUAUUUUCAUUGAUAAAAUAAUUCUAGAAAAGUUUAGAAUUAGUAGUUAAGCCACGAAAAAUACUCCAAAAGCUCCGAAAAUUCAGGAAAAAUUCUCAGAGAUAUUAUAGAACAUGGGAAACCCGAAUAAAGUUUUUGGAGCUCAUGAUAAGAUUGUUUGAAGCAUCUAAAAAUUAGAUUUAUGCUCAUAGGAAAGGCUAGAAAAUACCCGAGAAGUUUGUAGAGAAUUCUUGAUGGACGAGAAAUUCAAACGAGUGACUUACGUUUGAAAGAAAAGAUUCUGAGAGACAAUGACCGAAAUCUUGAGCUAAGAGACAAGGAAUUUGAUUGUAGAAAAAGGUAAAUAUGUGCCGAAUAAGGAAGAUCGAUCUACUAAACGUAUUUUAAAUAUUUUUCUUACUAUCAACACAUAAAGGAGCAACAAGCAUCACAUCAAAACAUAUGCACCAGCAUGUAUGUAUAAUAAUGUUGCUAAGCCUUAUGAUAAAUUUUAAUUUAAUUAAAAUAUUAUUUUUUCUAUAUUUUCAUGAGCACAAAAAUAUUAAAUUAAAUAAUUUUAUCUAUAUUUCAAAAGGAGUAAAUUUUAGGGUGUUACAUAGCCUGGCCCUGGGCGCCCGCCCAGGAGACCAGGGCGCCCGCCCCCUUCUGGGUACAAUCAGGACUCUCCUUCGGGAUCAAUCUCCACCGACCUAAAGGAUCUAGGAUAACCGUUCAAUCAAUGUCGGCUUGAUCCAACAGCCCAUAUUCACUUGAAGGGACUACAAAACCAGACCCUCUGGGCCCUGGAGGAGAGAGCCUCUCAACCCUAAUUCAUUAUUCUCACGGGAGAAGAAGCCUCUGAUCAAGCCUAGAGCCACAACAUCAAUUAGACAUCUAGAUUAGCAUAGCUACAUAGGAUUAGAACUAGAAGGAGUCAAUCUUCGAUUGGUUUCCGGAUCUGUCAAGAGGAUUCUUGGUAAUUCUCUAAUUGUUCUUCUAAUUGUUCAUCUUUGUUCUUCAAUAUUAUGAAUAUGACUUUGUUCUACAUCAAUAUAUUGCUUACGACUUUGCUCUACUUGUUUAUAUUCAAGAUUAUAUUGUUCUUAGUUUAUCAUAGUUAUGUACUUGGCUUAGUUAGAUUGGAUCUAUAUACAUGUUUAGGAUCGUAUAGCGUUUAUCCAUCGGAUCCAUGAGUAAAUGAUAGAUAUUGUGUAGGCGUGGUGCUUAUACCGUAUUUAUCUGCGAUUGUACCCCCAGAUCAUGGGGUAGUUCAUGAUAGUGACAGCUUCAUUGAUUCUUAUAUAGUCCCCCUCUCGUGUAUUGGGCUGGCAGAGCAACAUUAUUACAGGGGAGUGAUUACGAUGUUUCUCAUAUUCCUUGCUAAUAUCACUAUGCAUGGGCGUAGUCUUGUCUCGCAAUGAUUGCUAAGUAUGCUUGCACUAACUAUGAUAAUGUUAGACGGUAUAGUUAAGAAUAACUUAGAAAAUAUUCUUGUAGUUCGUUCUAAUUCCAUGCUAAUGACUUGCUAGAAUAUCUAAUUGAGGUGCUUAUCAUAUUUAUAUGUGGCUAAGUUAUGCUGAUCAGAUUAAUUAUCUUUGUCACCAUUCAUUACUUCAUAUAUCCUUUAUGUGACACUUAUCCCUGUAUGAAAGAGUUAGAUAAAUGUUCUCAAUUAUACAUGCAUUGAUAGAUACUCAAUCUCAUAUUCCAUUCUAUAAUCAACAUUGAUGGUUACUAAUCCCUUCCCAGUGGUAAAAAUAUAAAUAACGAUACCUAGAAUACUUCCCGGUUAAAAUGCUACAUCGGUAUUAAUCUAUGCGCUUGCAGAUCCCAUUCAUUAUUUAUUUAGACGAGCAAUUGCAUAUUUCAAUACCGCGUCUCUCAUGUCAUACUGGGGAUGACAACUUGGCUUAAGUGGUAUGAGAGAUAGGUUUGGCAUUUUUGGCACUGUUAUCAGAAUUAGAAACUGUUUACUUUUGGUAGUGAUGUUAAGAAUACCUAACAAUAUCCCAUGCAUAGGAAUCAUCAAGACCAUACAGAAGAUCAAGAACAUGGCUAGAGUGCAACUAAAACUUAUGUGCUAUUGCCAUUUAAUGGAUGGACAAGGCCUUAGAUAAGAUCAAUUCAAGAGAUGAUGCAAGGGAAUGUUUGGACAUAUAUGUCUAGUCACCCUUGGAAGUCGAAAAUGAUGGAGACUUCAAUGAGCAAGGAAGCUACUUCAUUAACACCCCAUGAGUUCCUUGCUCAUAUGAAAAAUCUCCUAAUUCACUUAGUCUCUCUACCUUUGCCCCACAUGAGGUCUUCAACCCCCUCAUGCUCUCUGUUCCUAACUGUUGACGGUCCUUAAGUAUCAAAUUUAAUUAUCAAAUAAAUAAAGAAAAGGAUCCAAAUGAAAUCAAGAUCUAGACUUAGGGUUUUAUCUGACAGAAUUCCACGAGUUUUGGUGUUUGUCUAUUUCUGCAGGGGGUUAUUAGGAAAUAUGGAAGAAAGGCCCACAUGUCAGGAUUACGUAAAGAUAUUAACGUGCUGUGCAAUUAUCUUACAUCUAGAAGACUCCAGAAGCCACGAGACCGAAGCGGAGGCGAAACAGGGCCAGAGGCAGGGCGCCCGCCCUGUCCUACUGGGCGCCCGCCCCCUGUCCAAGUCCAAUCAGGACUCUGCUUUGCGGGAAGUCUCCACCGACCUAAAGGAUGAAUCUAAACCAUACAAUCUAUGUCGGUUUGAUCCAAGGGCCCAUAUUCACUUGAAGGGACUAUAAAACCAGACCCCCUGGCCCCUGGAGGAGAGAGCCUCUCAACCCUAAUUCAUUGUUCCAUCAAGGGAGAAGAAGCCUCUGAUCGAGAUUAGAGCCACCACAUCAAUUAGAUAUCUAGAUUAGCAUAGCUACAUAGGAUUAGAACUAGAAGGAGUCAAUCUUCGAUUGGUUCCCGGAUCUGUCAAGAGGAUUCUUGGUAAUUCUCUAAUUGUGUUUCUAAUUACUUUCUAAUUAUCUUUGUUCUUCAAUAUUAUGAAUAUGACUUUGUUCUACUUCAAUAUAUUGCUUAUGACUUUGCUCUACUUGCUUAUAUUCAAGAUUAUAUUGUUCUUAGUUUAUCAUAGUUAUGUACUUAGCUUAGUUAGAUACAAUCUAUAUACAUGCUUAGGAUCGUAUAGCGUUUAUCCAUCGGAUCCAUGGGUAAAUGAUAGAUAUUGUGUAGGCGUGGUGCUUAUACCGUAUUUAUCUGCGAUUGUACCCAAUAUGCCAGAUCGUGGGGUAGUUCGUGAUAGUGACAGCUUCAUUGAUUCUUAUAUAGUCCCCCUCUCGUGUAUUGGGCUGGCAGAGCAACAUUAUUACAGGGGAGUGAUUGCUAUGUUUCUCAUAUUCCUUGCUAAUAUCACUAUGCAUGGGCGUAGUCUUGUCUCGCAAUGAUUGCUAAGUAUGCUUGCACUAAUUAUGAUAAUGCUAGACUAUAUAGUUGAGAAUAACUUAGGGAAUAUUCUUGUAGUUCGUUCUAAUACCAUGCUAAUGACUUUCUAGAGUAUCUAAUUGAGGUGCUUAUCAUAUUUAUUAUGUGGCUAGAUCAGAUUAGUUAUUCUUGUCACUAUUAUUAUUUCAUAUAUCUUUUAUGUGACACUUAUCCCUAUAUGAUGAGUUAGAUAUAAUGUUCUCAAUUAUACAUGCAAUGAUAGAUGCUCAAUCUCAUAUUCUAUUCUGUAAUCAUUAGUGAUGAUUUCUAAUCCCUUCCCAGUGGUGAAAAUAUAAAUAACGAUACCUGGAAUACUUCCCGGUUAAAAUUCUACAUCGGUAUUAAUCUGUGCGCUUGCAGAUCCCAUUCAUUAUUUAUUUAGAAGAGCAAUUGCAUAUUUCAAUACCGCGUCUCUUAUAUCAUGCUGGGGAUGACAACUUGGCUUAAGUGGUGUGAGGGAUAGGUUUGGCAUUUUUGGCACCGUUGCUAGAUUUAGAGAACUUAGUCUACUUUUAGUAAUGAUGUUAAGAAUACCCAACAAGCAUUUUUGGCGCCGUUGUCGGGGAAGGUUGAUUACUAAUCAGGAAUAGAAUAAAAGAUUUAGAGUAAUCAUUCGCAUCACUAAUAUGAUUGAGCUUAUCUAUUCUCUCAUACAGUUUUACCCCGAUAUUUUUCUAUUUUUAUCUUAUGCAGGGGAAUGUAUGAAUAGAAGACAUCUUCCAGGAAAUUUUGUUGACAAUCCCGAAGCAUUAUUCAAGAAGACGAGAGCCAAGCUAAAGAAAUCAUCAACACUUCACGAAGAAGCUUCAUCCAAUCAAGAAGAUCACCGGAACUUGUCUUCAGAGUUCGAAGCCAUGGCGAACAAAUCGAUCCGCGAGUUCUUAGCUCCCACUACGGACAACAUCCGCACUGGACCUGCUGCAGAGAUCGAUGGCAACUUUGAGCUCAAGCCUGGACUUAUCAACAAGGUGCAAUCCAACCAGUUCUGUGGGAAGGCACACGAAGAUGCUAGUGCUCAUUUACAACACUUUCUGGAGAUUUGCAACACAUUCACCAUAGCAGGAGUUUCCAAAGACGCUAUACUACUUCGCCUCUUCCCAUUCUCACUAUUAGGAAGAGCGAAGCAGUGGUUCUACGCUACAAAGGAGAAGAAUACUACGUGGGCACUCUGCUCAACAAACUUCCUGGCUAAGUUCUUUCCCAUGGGCAAAACCAAUGCUCUCCGUGGGAAGAUUACAAGUUUUCAGCAACAAAAUGAUGAAUCUGUUCCAGAAGCAUGGGAGCGCUUUCAAGACUACAUCCUAGAAUGUCCCCAUUAUGGAAUGGAGAGUUGGCUAUUGAUGCAGACGUUUUAUCAUGGGCUCGGCAACAGUGCCCGAGAGACUAUGGAUGCUGCAGCUGGAGGAGCAUUCUUAUCACUUACUAUACCACAAGCCGCAUCUCUUGUGGAGAAGAUGGCGUCCAACCAAAGCUGGAAUGAGGAGAGGACCCAGACACGCAAGAGAGGUGGAGGUAUACAUCAGCUGAAAGAGGUAGACAUGCUGUCUGCAAAGCUAGACCUGCUCAUGAAGAAGCUCGAUGAUAGAGCUGGAGACAAGAAAGAAGUUAUGCACAUCUACGACUCUCACAUGACUUGUGAGGAGUGUGGAGACACUGGACACUCAGGCAACCACUGCCCUGAGAUACUUGAGGAUGUGAACUACAUCAACAACAACAACAACAACUACUACAACCGUCCUCAACAAAAUCAAGGUUGGAAUCAACAGAGGCCUAACUACUCAGGUAAUUAUCAAGGUAACAAUUCUUACAACAAUAAUAAUAAUUUUCCACCUUUGAGAGAGUUAGUGUCUAAUCAAGGAAAGCUAAUGGAUAACCUAUCUAAGAAAUUGGCAUCUAAUGAUAAAAUGCUAGAAAAUAUAAAUAAUAGAAUGGAUAAUUUCUCUACUGCCAUCAAGAAUCAAAUUAGCUUUAAUAAAAUGAUUGAAUCUCAGUUAAAUCAAAUAGCUGCUGUUGUUCCUACUACUAACCCCGGUAUACCAUCACAACCGGAAGGAUUAGAAUCUGCAAAUCUUGUAGACAUGAUUGAUGCAGGUAAUUGGAGUAACCCCGUCACUGAAUUUUCUACUGACCAUCUGCCGGUCAAGAGAGGCGAUCCAGGACGCCCCGUCAUCCCGAUCUCCAUCGGCAUGGUGGACGUCCCAGAAGCACUCUGUGACUUUGGCUCUAGCGUCAACAUUAUACCCAGGGUACUCUAUAAAAAAUUCUUUACAUAUCCUUUAUUAGAGACAACCAUGUGUUUGCAGUUUGCAGAUCAGACGAUAACUUUUCCAAAAGGAAUCGUGAGGAACCUUUGUGUCCGAGUUGGUACCUUAUAUGCCCCAGCAGACUUCGUAGUGGUAGAGACCGGAAAUGAUGAGAGAGCACCUAUCAUCCUAGGGAGGCCAUUUCUGAACACCACGGGAGCUAUCAUCUACGCCAGUGCUGCCAAGAUCAGUUUCUACGUCAAAGGGAAGAAGGAGACAUUUUUCUUCAAGAACAAGACUACACAAAUUCCAGAUCAAUCCAGACGUGAAUCAAGGAAGAGGACCAACAGGAGAAACAGGAACAAGCAAGUGUGGACCGAGUCAGCUAAGAUGGUCACUAUAGUCCAUGGAGGCCAAGAUCACCAACUGAAGUCACCGUUUUUUGACCAAGAAGGACGACCCAGGAAUGCCAAGCAUUUACUGCUCCAUAAAUGGAUAUAACUUCUACAAGACGAUUUGCGACACCAGAUCAGGCGUCAACAUAAUGGCCGCAGUCACCUAUCGGCUCUUGUUCGGGACCAUGCCACUAAGACCAACAUACAUUCAGCUCCAGAUGGCAGAUCAAACAUUUCGAGAAGUUCAAGGAAUAGUAUCUGAUGUCCCAGUCAAAAUAGACAAUCACUUUGUCUACACAGACUUUCAAGUUGUUGACAUGGGAGAAGACGAGUAUGAUCCACCCAUCAUCCUUGGAAGGCCGUUCCUCAGCACCGUUAAAGCAAUUAUCUACAUUGGAACCGGAGAAGUCCAUAUGCACUUCCCCUCAGAGAAGGUACGCCGUUAUUUUACUGACCCUAACUAUAUCGUUGAAGAAUCUAAGCAGGUCAGAAAGAGACGCAACCGCAACCAGAGGAGGCAGAUCAUCAAGGACGGAUGGGCAGACUAUGAAGGAGAAGUUGUAAGGUCAGAAGACGUAGAGUUUAAACAGAAUUAUCUAGAGGAGAUUGAAGCACCGAGUCAGGUAUGGAAAAUGAAGAUAACUAUACAAGAAGAGGAGGCGCUGCCGGAAAUACCGACUAUGCCACCCAACGAACCUCAGGACGAUUAAGAAAUUGGAGAGUCCCGUUCGGAGGACUUAAAAACACCGAACGCCUUGCCAAGAGGUAAACUUGGUAGUUACCCUUUCCCUUUUAAUCAUUUCAAUUAUUUCAAAUAGUUUACUUAGUUAAUCAAGUUCAUGCUGUCUUAAAAAGAAAAUAAAAAUAUGAAAAACAGUAAGCCCCAUGUGAGUAUACGAGUGGCAUAAAACCCAUAAGUACUUUCACUGUGGUGGCAUAAAAAUAAAAUAAAUAUUUUUCUGCUUUAUAAAAUAAAAAUAUAAAAACAGGGAGUAAUAAUUAUUAAGGAGUCUCAAGAUGAUGAAGACUAUAUAUUUAUGCUAACACUUAAUUAGUUCCACAAGCUUUGUUGUCUAUUUAAGCUCCACAGAAUUCAAGAAGACUAGCAGAACGAGGACAUUCUAAUCGCUGUCAGAAUGCUGCUGACUUUCAAAUACACCUCUGCCGCCUGCUAGCUACAUCAAGAGAAAUUACGUCAAAAUUCAGCUUGGGGGAGAGCACCCCCAUUUAUUCCGAUAAGUAUUUUUAUCUAUCUUUAUACUUAUAUUAUUUUAGAAUAUUAAAAUACACAUAAACUAUGGAAAAACCAAAUAAAGAUUUUAUGCUUAUAUAUGUCUUUUGCUUAGUGUGUUUAAUAAAUAAAUAAAGUGGCUAUGCUAAUCUGUAUCUAAAUAAAACUUAAGCAUGGAUAUGAUGAAAAGUUGCUCUGCCUAAUUUGCAAAUUUUAAGUUCUCUCUCAAGUUUAGAUAUAACUGUUAUAAUUUAAAGCUUGCUCUAGAUCUAAACUUGUGGGAUAAAAACAUGAUCUGAAGUCUAAGUUGUUAACGGAUACGAUAUGGGAAGGCUGAGCUGCUGUUUAUCUGUUCCUAGAGAUGCUAGAAUUCUGGAGAAUUUUAUCUUUGAAAAUCUUUAAAAUGUUGCAUGAUGAGUUCCUGUAUGAUGAGAGCUUAAAAUUCCUACCACAGCCAUAUAUACAUGCUUGCUAGACUUUGAGCCACACAUUUAUUAUUUACUGCUUAUGAGCAUUGAGUGUGGUCAAGCUGUGUAGACCCUUAGGAGCUUGUCAUGUGGUUAAAUCAAGAUUUCACUUACACGUUCACUCAUAUAUGCUACUUCUACUCCGGAAGUACCAUCCACAUAUAUCCAUUCAUUUCCAUCUCCAGAACCACCUAAAAAUAUUCUACUCCUAAUUCGGGAGAGAAUAACCAAAAAUAUUUCUGUUUUUCCCCUUGUGAAAUAAAUGCUCAAGUUAUCUUGUUACUACCACUUGCUAUAUUAUCUCAUGAGAUGAAUGCUCAAUAUUAAAAAAAAAAUAAUACGAGGAAAUAAAAAGGAGCAAGUGCUCGGAACCUCGAAAGAAAAGAAAAAGUGAGACGAGAGGUAAAAAUGGACAAGUGUCCGACAGUAGAAUUAGGGGUGCAAGAUACCCACCUGAGAGAAAAGAAAAAAGAAGAGCAUCUCAUUCUCCUCAUAAAGUUUCAAAAGCAAGGAAGGUAUGUAUCCCCUCAAAAGAGCAAAGUAGAAUUAGACUUCCACCACCAUUGUUUUCACCAUUGUUAUCACCAUCAUCACCAUAUACCAUUCAUUCGCCACACAUGCACAUCUUGAUUUGGCUUAUUGACUUGUUACUUUGGAUCCAUGGUUUGACUAUGCAAUAAAUGUCUUGUAAGUAUGUAUAUUUUAUCUCCCACCUAUGAGCUCCAGAUAUUAAAGCCUUAUUAGAGUAGGGUGAGAGAGAAGGCAAUGUCACUAUGCUUUAUACCACAAAUACCACAUAUCUUGAGAGAAGGCAUAUACCAUCAAUGCCUUGGUAAGGAUCCAAAAAUACCACAAAAGAGAGACCUGAGAGAAUCAUACAAGGAAUCUCUGAGUUUUAUUUGAAAAUAUGCAAAAAUCCCAGAGCUAUAGCUGAUCAAGAAUAAGAGACAAGGCACUUGGCUAGACUGUUCUAUCUUUUAACCACUCAAGACAGAAGUGACAGUUACAAGUCCCAUGGUGGAGGUAAAGUAAGUAAGUUUUAAGUCUUGACAGUUUACUCUAACUUAGAGAUGAGAUCUUAUUUAAAAGCAUGUGUACCGUCAAAUUUUUAAACAUAUUGCAACAACUUAUGAUCCAUAGCUGAGUCUAUCCUUGCUCAGGGACGAGCAAGAGGUAAGCUUGGGGGAGUUUGUUGACGGUCCUUAAGUAUCAAAUUUAAUUAUCAAAUAAAUAAAGAAAAGGAUCCAAAUGAAAUCAAGAUCUAGACUUAGGGUUUUAUCUGACAGAAUUCCACGAGUUUUGGUGUUUGUCUAUUUCUGCAGGGGGUUAUCAGGAAAUAUGGAAGAAAGGCCCACAUGUUAGGAUUACGUAAAGAUAUUAACGUGCUGCGCAAUUAUCUUACAUCUAGAAGACUCCAGAAGCCACGAGACCGAAGCGGAGGCGAAACGGGGCCAGAGGCAGGGCGCCCGCCCUGUCCUACUGGGCGCCAGCCCCCUGUCCAAGUCCAAUCAGGACUCUGCUUUGCGGGAAGUCUCCACCGACCUAAAGGAUGAAUCUAAACCAUACAAUCUAUGUCGGUUUGAUCCAAGGGCCCAUAUUCACUUGAAGGGACUAUAAAACCAGACCCCCUGGCCCCUGGAGGAGAGAGCCUCUCAACCCUAAUUCAUUGUUCCAUCAAGGGAGAAGAAGCCUCUGAUCGAGAUUAGAGCCACCACAUCAAUUAGAUAUCUAGAUUAGCAUAGCUACAUAGGAUUAGAACUAGAAGGAGUCAAUCUUCGAUUGGUUUCCGGAUCUGUCAAGAGGAUUCUUGGUAAUUCUCUAAUUGUGUUUCUAAUUACUUUCUAAUUAUCUUUGUUCUUCAAUAUUAUGAAUAUGACUUUGUUCUACUUCAAUAUAUUGCUUAUGACUUUGCUCUACUUGCUUAUAUUCAAGAUUAUAUUGUUCUUAGUUUAUCAUAGUUAUGUACUUAGCUUAGUUAGAUACGAUCUAUAUACAUGCUUAGGAUUGUAUAGCGUUUAUCCAUCGGAUCCAUGGGUAAAUGAUAGAUAUUGUGUAGGCGUGGUGCUUAUACCGUAUUUAUCUGCGAUUGUACCCAAUAUGCCAGAUCGUGGGGUAGUUCGUGAUAGUGACAGCUUCAUUGAUUCUUAUAUAGUCCCCCUCUCGUGUAUUGGGCUGGCAGAGCAACAUUAUUACAGGGGAGUGAUUGCUAUGUUUCUCAUAUUCCUUGCUAAUAUCACUAUGCAUGGGCGUAGUCUUGUCUUGCAAUGAUUGCUAAGUAUGCUUGCACUAAUUAUGAUAAUGCUAGACUAUAUAGUUGAGAAUAACUUAGGGAAUAUUCUUGUAGUUCGUUCUAAUACCAUGCUAAUGACUUUCUAGAGUAUCUAAUUGAGGUGCUUAUCAUAUUUAUUAUGUGGCUAGAUCAGAUUAGUUAUUCUUGUCACUAUUAUUAUUUCAUAUAUCUUUUAUGUGACACUUAUCCGUGUAUGAUGAGUUAGAUAUAAUGUUCUCAAUUAUACAUGCAAUGAUAGAUGCUCAAUCUCAUAUUCUAUUCUGUAAUCAUUAGUGAUGAUUUCUAAUCCCUUCCCAGUGGUAAAAAUAUAAAUAACGAUACCUGGAAUACUUCCCGGUUAAAAUGCUACAUCGGUAUUAAUCUGUGCGCUUGCAGAUCCCAUUCAUUAUUUAUUUAGAAGAGCAAUUGCAUAUUUCAAUACCGCGUCUCUUAUAUCAUGCUUGGGAUGACAACUUGGCUUAAGUGGUGUGAGGGAUAGGUUUGGCAUUUUUGGCACCGUUGCUAGAUUUAGAGAACUUAGUCUACUUUUAGUAAUGAUGUUAAGAAUACCCAACACUAACAUUUUCGAAAGGGUGGUUGUAGACACAUAUGCUUAUCAUAAAUAUUAUAGAUCUUGUUGUGUUGAUUCUUGAGAGUAGUGCACUUAGAUUGGUGUUGGAAGGGAAACCACUUCACCAAUCCACAUCUUGAAGGUUUCCCAAGGAUAAGCUUAGUGUCCUAAAACAAGUACUAUUUAAACCAUGACAUGAGUGAUCACCUUUCUACUAUGCUACCAUUGAGCAUAGAAUUAUAAUAGUGAAAAUAUUACUUUGGGUAUUCUUGUCACUAACCUUGCCAUGUUUGGAGCAAAAGAUCAAAGGAAUGACAAACGCAGGUAUGUCCAAUCAAUCAUUAUGCAACAUUGAAUUACAUUCAUCCAAUCUUGAUUAUUGCUAAAGUCAAGCUUGGGGGAUAUGCUACCAUAGAUACAUCUCUAGUCAUGUUUCUACAUCAUCUUGGUUGUCCCUACCUUUAAGUUAUGCUCAACUUGCUAAAGAAUAAUCAUGGUCUUUCAUAACUAUUUGAGUAAACAUCUAUAAUGCUUUCAUGUCACCAUUGAUUGCUAUAGUUUGCGUAGGCUUCGAAGUAUUUUCAUAUGUCUCUUGAAUGAAGCAGGUGCUUAGUUUAGGAGUGGUGAUCUUUCUUCAAAAGGCUUUUAAGUUAUGCGUAGUGCUUAGGUUAAAAUGUCUUCCUAUAUCAAAUUAGAGGUGGUGUCUAGGUUGAUUUUUGAGCUGAUAGUAUGCUAUAGUAGAUAUUGGACUAUUUUUUGUUGGACUAACCUGUGCAGGAAAACUACCAAAUCAAAAUUGGGAAAGUCCUAAGAUGAACUCACACUAGAGAUGAAGGGAUACACAACAGUUUUGUAUAAAGGAAACACAACUCAUUUCUAGCGAAGGAGAAAGAAGAAGGGUAGCAUCAAACAUGAUCCACAAACAAAACCCUCACUGCAUGGAAGUGGGUGAACAAAACUUUCCAUCACGCCACUUGGAGACAAAGAUCACGUGGAGGAAUUUGAGUUGCCGUUUUAGUUGCAUUCUCUUAUCAACCACUAAAUUAUUGAGAAUCAAGAAAAAAUGACAAGAGAAGAGCAAGCAACCUUCUGCACCCUCACCUCUGAGAUUGAGAGGCUGAGACAUGAGGAAGGAAGGCAAACUCCUCAAGAUGAUCCAACCAAGUUCUUCGCCUCUCAUGCUCUCAUCUCUCCACAUACUGGAAUAAAAUAGUAAAGAAGAGUUAAAGGCCCAAGCACAAAAUAAAGAGUGAAUGAAUGAUGGCAUAAGAUAAGAAAGAAGGAGUAUAAUAGAGAAAAUAGUUGGUGCAUUAAUAAAACACAAGACCGACCAACCAAGGAAAGCUUCCACAAGGUACUACACAAUCAACAUGCUUCAAUACUAAAGCUCCGACAACUAGUACUUCACACUUCAAACUGCUGGAAGAACAAUAAACAUGGGUGACACCAUCUCAAGAGGUGCAACUAUCAUGGUCUCGACCUUUGGGAGCAGAUAAAGAACCUAAGGAAUUAACAUGGUAAGAGGUCCUAUUCGAAGGACCUAAAAUACCAAACACCAUGCCAAGAGGUAACUUGAUAGUUAUCAACAUUUCCCUUUUUAGCACUGCAUAUUUAUUCUUCAGCAUAUUCAAUUUCCCUUAAAUGCAUAAUUAGUUGCAUAUCCACUUUACCAUUUCUGCAUUAGAGAAAGAAAAUAAUAAUAUGUCAUGCAUUGCAUCUAGAAAAUGCUAAGUCCCUUGUGAAUAAUUUUUGGUGCGACAACCCACAAAGAUAUCCACGGUGGUGGCAUAAAAAUAAGUUUUCAUCUUAGUGCAUUUUCUACAUACCAUAAAAGAUAAAAGAUAAAAAAAUAUUAAAGAUCCUGCUAAAAGAUAUAUGUGUUAAGAAUGUUCUAGACAUCCAAGGCUUAGAGGUUUAUCACUAACGCUUAAUUAGUUCCACAAGUUUUGCUGUCUAUUUGAGCUUCACAAAAUUUAAAGGAUCAAGAAGAGCUAAUAGGCAGAAGGACAGCCUAUCCCCUGCCAGAGUGUUGUCUUCAAUAGUGAGAGUAUUGUGUCAACAACAACCAUCCCUAACCCUCUAGGAGAACUAGUACGCCUUCACUGCCAGUUAGCAACACCAACAGACUAUGUCAACAUCUAGCUUGGGGGAGAGCACCCCUCGUGUAUCUAGAUAAGUAUGACUAGCUUAUUUAUUUAUUAAAUGUGUUAUGUGUUGGCAUUUCAUAGCGUCAUCACAAAAGAUAGACUAAAAUUUCAUCCUUGCAACAGCGCCAGAAAGCUUGUUGACUCCAGAAGUGGCAAACGGAAAUACCGCAAGCGUAUGAUAGUCAAUGUAGCUUUCACCGGGAGUAUUUGAGGUAUCGUAUUUACCACGUGGAACGUGAAGUGAACUAACUAGGCUCAAGGUCAUCCAUAGGGUCAAGGAUAAGUAAGGAUAGGUAAGUGAUCUCACACAGAUCCUAAUCUAAAGAUAAAUGGUAGAGAGCUAGCUAGGUGGGAGGACAAUGAGUGAGAAAAGACUCCUAUGACUCUAACUUUACUCGUAUCAACAAAUCUAAUCUAGUAGCGGACACACACUAACAUUGCUAAACUUAACUGCUUGUUUGUUGGAAGUCGACUGCAAUAGGAGGACGAAACUCCUAUACAAGAGGACUCAUUUCUUAUGGGCGCCUACAGACCGUACCCGACGUGAAUAGAACCUACUGGGAAGCAGAGGCCUAUCACGCUUCGCCGCCGCCCGCUAUCACGUUUGGUACAGUGUAUUCAAGGGCAGGCUUUAGCCUAAGCACCACACUUAUGCUAACUCCUACUACUCAGACUAAGUAUACGACCUAAUCCAAGCACCAUGUUACCGGUAGAGAAAACAACCCAAGCACUUAAGUCUAACUUAGCUAGUAUAUAACUACUAUAAGACAGACUAAGACACUACAAUAGAAUAUUGCACUAAGUAAAUACUAAAAGUAAAUACUUAGAAAAGUAAAGGAAAAGUAAAUAUAUUAAACACUCAAAGUUUUCUCGCUUUCAAACGAUCAUCAACAACAAGAUUAAAGUAUGAGAACUUCACUCAGCUUGAUGGCGAGUCAAUCGAUGCCAUGUUUUCUCGCUUUUAAAUGAUCAUCAACGAGAUGAGAGCAAACAAGGCACAACUACCUUAUGACGAUCAUGAGAGGGCUCUCAAGCUUCUAUAUGCCCUAGAUCGGAAGGUAUGGGAUGUGAAGGUGUCCGCCAUCAUCGAGUCUUCAAACUAUGACACCAUCACUGUGGACGAGCUGUUCAGCAAGCUCAAGUCCGCCGAGAUCGACUACCAAACUCAAGCCAAGCUCAAGAAUCCCUCUGCACCAACUAUGGCUUUAGUCUCAUGUAACAGUUCAAGUUCUUCAUCUAACCCUUCAAAGAUGUCGUUUGCCUUGUCUUAUUUGGUGUCUGUUUCAAAGGAGCAGUUAGAGACCCUUGGGGAUGACGAGGUGGCGUUGAUCAUCAGCCGGUUCUCGCGGUUCCACAACAACCGCUUGAACCGCCGUCGGGGCGGUGAUCAAAAGGUGGGCUGCUACAACUGUGGAGAUCUUGACCACUUCGUCGCCCACUGCCCCAAGAAGAACAAGCACUUCUCCGACAAGUACGGCUCCGGCAAACGCAAGGACAAGCAUGACUACACCUCCAAGAAGUACAAGUCAAAGAAGGGCUUCGACAAGGAGGCGCUCAAGAAAAUGUACAGCAAGAAAGCCAAGGCGCAAGAGUGUGCCUUCCUUGCUUUCCUCAGCGACCUCGACAACGACUCCGGCGAUGACCGCUCCUCUUCUCCCUCGAUUGACAAUGAGUCCGAGAGGAAGAUGGAGGAGAAGCUGACCGGUCUUUGCUUCAUCGCUGACUCCACUCACGGAGGAUUCUGCACCAUGGUGAUUGAUGAAGAGGUGAAGGCUAGCAAGGAUGAGGUCUCCUUCAAUGACGACACCUCCGAGGUACCUCCUUCUGUCGAUGACCUUGUCGCUGAGCUUGAUAGCAUGAAUAUCACCUUGAUUAGUCAAGAUAAAUUGCUUAAGCGUGCUUCCCCUGAGAGGAAAGAGUUUAAGGACAAGUUAGAGUUGGCGCUUAAGGAGCUUGAGGUUGCUAAGAAGUGUGCUGUGGUUGUGUCAGAUGAAGUAGAGUGCAAUGAGUGUGCUGUUCAUAUGUCUAACUUCUCUGAAUUGCAAUCUAAGUAUGCUGCUUUGCUUGAAGAGUAUGGUGAGCUGAAGGCUAGGCCUGUCUUGUUGGGUGCGUGCAAGUCCUCCUCGGGCUUGCAAUCUGAGCUGGCAGAGAAGAAUGCCAAGAUCUGUGAUCUUGAGAAGGCCAGUUUAGAUAGCGCCGCUGCUAAGUGUGCAUGUUGUGAGAGCUUGGUGCUAGAGCUUGAGUCUUGUAGGCACGAUAAGAUGAGAUCCGAGGAAGACAACACAUACCUUCGGUCGAUCUUGAGCUGGGUAUCUAGCAGUGAGCCACGGUUGGGCAUGAUGAUGAGCCAGUUCAGGAGGGGGACUUGCACAUCGGGUGUAAGCUUUGCUAUAGGUAGGAAGGGUGAAAAUAUUUAUGGCAAGGUGGGUGAGUCUAGUGGUUUGAGCACGAGUGAGAAACAUCCACUACUCCCAAGUUGAUCAAAUUCACUCCACCUGAGCCUUCCAAACCCACUAUCAAAGAUGGAGUGUUUGAAGAACCUCCAAAAGUUCCACCUCAGAAACAAGUAUGGAUUCCAAAACCUAACCAUCUCAGGAACCCACUUGACACUCUACCAAACAUCUCUGAGGAUCCCCGUCCUAAAGCCAAAAAGCCACCAAGAGUGAACCAUACCCACAAGAGAGUGAACCAGUAGCCACCCAAGAGAGAGGUAAGGUAUCACUGUGAGUAUUGCCAUAGGGAUGGUCACUGUUGACGGUCCUUAAUGCUCACAUUUAACCAUCAACUAAUCAUAGAAAAGGAUCCAAAUGCAACUAACACCUAGACUUAGGGUUUUAUUUGACAGAAUUCCACAAGUUUUGGUGUUUGUCUAUUUCUGCAGGGGGUUAUCAGGAAAUACGGAACAAAGGCCCACACGUCGGGUUUACAUAGAGAUAUUAACGUGCCGCACAAUUAUCUACCAUGUAGAAGACUCCAGAAGCCACGGGACCGAAGCGGAGGCCGAGAGGGCUCAGGCACUGGGCGCCCGCCCAACCUUACUGGGCGCCCGCCCUCCCCCCUGGACCAAACAGAGUCCAAUUCGGGGACAACACUCCACCGACCUAAUACUUCAAGGAAAACCACACGAUCAAUGUCGGUUUGAUCCGACGGCCCAGAUUCAAUUGAAGGGACUAUAAAACCAGACCCCCCUGGCCCCUGGAGAUCAUACCUCUUCUACAGAAUCAAAGCUAGGGUUUCAAUUCUUCAUCCAAGUAGAGAGGAUCCCUCUAGUUCUUCUAGUUCUAGUUCUAGUUAGUUCUAGUUGUAAUCUAGAAAAUAGGGAGAGAUAAGAGGAGAGCGGAGGAGGAGCCGGAUCUGUCGGAUCUUCCUCAACAUUAUACUUUUGCAGCAUCUGGUUCGUUCUUCAUCGUUCUCCAGGUUCUUCAAUUCAUAACUCCUGAGUUCUCUAAUUACUUUUAUUUACAUUCAAGUUAUUUAUUGGAUUCCCGCUUGCAUCAAGUGCUCUAGUCUUUAUAACGCUAGAGUAGUAAUUAAUAGAUUAAACGUGGUGUUUAGUCUUGCAAUUACCUGGAAUUGCACCCAAUCCUGCGGAUUGUUGUGGUAGCCUUAGGGUAGUGACAGCCCUAACGGUCGAUGUAUUCCACCACGUUCGGAUCGGUGUUUGUAGGACCGUAGUCAGACCUUCCUAGCCCCCUUCUCAUCUCUUUCUGUGGUUAAUGCUCUGAUGUCCCGAUAUAGAUAAUCUUAAAGUAAUUCUUGAUUCUUAGAUCAACUAGAGAACUCUCAGGAAACUUCCUCUCUUCCCACCAAAAAUAAUCAUAUUAGUUAUCCUUGGGCGAUCUUGGAUCUUAGUUAGUACACUCACGUUCCCUGUGGAAAAUCGAUACUCUGGAAUACUCCCGGGUGAAGGCUACAUCGGUAUCCGUGCGCUUGCGGAUUUUUCUGUUUGCGUUUAAAAUACCCAACAAGCUUUCUGGCGCCGUUGCCGGGGAACGGUAGCUGUGCUAGUUUCGAACCAAGUCGUCCGUGUAUCCUUUUUCUUUUCUUUUUUCUACCACACUCACCUUACCAUUUUCACCAUACCACAUGGAUUUCACUCUAAGCAUUAAUGAGCAUGGAAUUUAUUUCAUAGCCACUUCAUUUACUCCAUGCUCAUAUGCAACAUCUUCACAAUCCAUGGGUCUUUCCAACAUCACCACAUUCGAGAUCUCCAACCCCCUCAUCCUUUCUAUUUAUAAAAACUUUAAAAGGGCGGUUGUUGAUGCAUAUGUCUAUAAUAAAUUUUGCAGAUCUCGUUGAGUUUAUCUUGAUAUAGGUCAGCGUUGGAGGGGAAACCACUUCGCCGACAUAAAUUGAUGGUUUCCCAAGGACAAGCUUAGUGUCCUAAAACAAGCACUGAUCAGAUCGUAACAUGUGCUUUUAAUUAUUUGCAACAUUACCUUGUGUAUUGAGCAUAUAAAGAUAAUUGUAGAAAAAUUCCCUCGGGUAUUCUUGUCACUAACCUUUCCAGGAUUGCAGCAAGAAGAUCGGAUGAAUGACAAGUACAAGGUAUGUCCAACCAAUCAUCAUACAACAUUGAAUUAAAUUCAUCCAAACUUGAAUUUUGCAAAAUUCAAGCUUGGGGGAGUACUUUACAUAAAAAACAUCCUUUGCCAUGUUGCUAUGUUGAUUGUCCCUACCUUUGAGACAUGCUCAAUUUGUUAAAUACUAAUCACACUACUUUAUCUCCACUUGAGUAGAUCUCUAUAAAUGCUCUCAUGCUACCUUUAUUUGCUUUAGUAUAUGUCUAGGUUUGGAGUAGUUUCAUUUAUCUCUUAAUUACGCAUGGUGCUUAGUUUAGGGCUCAUGAUCUUACUUCCAAGGGAGUUUAAAUUAAGCAUGAUGCUUAGGUUAAAAUGCCCUCCUAAAUCAAAUUAGACAUGGUGUCUAGGUUGAUCUUUGAGCCGAUAGUAUGCUAUAGUAGAUAUUGGAUAUUUUGUUGGACUAACCCCUGCAGGAAAACUUUCAAUAUCGACCUGGGAAGUCCUGAGAUAAACUCACAUUGGAGACAAAGAGAGAGACGCAUGAAGGUUAACAAUUUACACAAGGAAGUCAUAGCUCACAAGAGAUGAUCCAUGGAGGGUGCCACAAACACGAUGCACAACCGCUAAGAGAGGAAAGUGUUGACGGUCCUUAAGUACUAAAAUUAAUAAUCAAAUAAACAUGAAAAAGGAUCAAUAUGAAACAAACAUCUAGAAUUAGGGUUUUAUCUGACAGAAUUCCACGAGUUUUGGUGUUUAUCUAUUUCUACAGGGGUUUAUCAGAAAAUAGGGAGAGAAGGCCCACAUGUCAUGUUUACAACGAGAUAAUUACGUGCCGCGCAAUUUUCCUUGAUCUGGAAGGAUCCAGAAGCCACGGGAACGAACGAGAGGGGAUUCGGGCUCGGGGGCUGGGCGGCCGCCCACCCCCCUUGGGCGCCCGCCCAGGUGGAGAGUCCAAUCAGGACUCUGCUUCGGGACAAUCCUCCACCGACCUAAAGGAUCAAUCUAAACCAUACAAUCUAUGUCGGUUUGAUCCAAUGGCUCACGUUCACUUGAGGGGACUACAAAACGAGACCCCCUGGCCCCUGGAGGAGAGGAGGAGAAAUCAUUAUUCAGAGGUAGCCAUCAAAGUUAGGGUUUAGAGCUUCUCUCCCACAGAGAAUUAGAAUUAGCUACUCCCUAAUCCUUCAAGUUUAGAGGUUUGAUUAGAUAGCAAUUAGAGAAGUAGAGCACUACGCUCUGGAUUCGGAUCUUCGGUAAUAAAGAUUGGUAUUAUUCAUAUCUUUCUCUAAUUCUAUUGUUCUAAUUGCAUUAUGUCUCUAAUUAUUAUGUUCUUAGUUUGCUCUAGUUCUAUAUUUGAUAUAGUUCUAAUUGAUAAUGAGUUUAUGUAUAAGUUUGCAAAGCGCUUAGCUCUUGUCACGAGGGAGUUAGGUGAUAGAUCACAUGUGAGCGUGGUGCUUAGAUGUUAUUUAUCUGCAAAUGUAUCCUAUUGGCCGAGUCGUGUGGUAGUUCGCGAUAGUGACAGCUUCGUUGAUUCUUAUAUAGUCCACCCUCCGUUGAUAGGACAGGCAGAACCGGUAUUGUGGAGUAAGUCAUGCGAUGUUCUGAUUUACUUUAUCAAUGUUCCUUAUACAUGAAUGAAGAGUCUUUUAUGCUAUAUAUGAUCUUGUAGAUAACUAGAGUAGAUUAUGACUUAGUAGUUAGUAGAUAACUUAGAAUCCAUUCUCUAGCUAAUCCGACAUCACCUACAUAUAUGAGGAGUAGUCUAUUUUCUAAUCGCUGUGCUCUUUACCCCAUGAACUUAUACUUUAUUAUCAUUAUCUUUAUGGUUUACCCCCUGCUAAAGUAUGUGACUGUGUGACGAGUUUCUCAUUAGUAAUCAUGUUCUUGCAAGUUUAUCUCUAGUCUAUGCCUUGAUAGAUUUUGCCCCCUUUGAUUUAAUUCCAUCUUCCUCAGAUCCCUAAGCAAAAUUAUAAAUAACGAUACCUGGAAUACUUAUCCUGGUGAAAUGCUACAAUGAGGUGUUUUAUCUGUGCGCUUGCGGAUAGAAUAGAUUAUUUUCUAGAGAGCCUUUACAUUUAUAAAUACCUUUGUACACUCUGGCGCCAUGCUAGGGAUGACAACCUAGUAUCUAAGUGGUGUUAGCUAGUGUCAACAAGCAUUUCUGGCGCCGUUGCCGGGGAGUUACGGAGACAUGUUAGAAUUAUAAGAAUUAUAUGAGUCUCAGGAAUAAGUCGUAAAAGGGGAACAAAGGAGUAAUAUUGAGGAAAGCCAGAAAAUCAAUCAAGGUUAUUCAUAUAAAAUUUUAGACUAGACUAUAGAGAAAUAAUUGCAUAAAACAACUACUAAGUGAGAAAUCAUAACAAGGCACCGCUGCUUUGGCAGGUUCACCCUGUUGUUUUUCUAUGUUUAUAUUUUUAUACAGGGUAUAACAGGAUUGACUUUGGGUACAUUCAACUCUUCAUCAUCAGAACCGAAGCAAUCAAGAGAAGAAGAAGCUAGUUACCAAUUGCUGAAGCUAUGGCACAAAAGACCUUGCCAGAAUUCUCUGCUCCAAGUCUUGAGAACAUUCCAACUGGUCCAAGAUUUGCAGUAGAAGAAGGAAUACCUGAGUUUGAGCUCAAGUCAAGCCUCAUCAAUUUGGUACAAGCUACACAAUUCAGUGAAAAGGCACAUGAAGAUGCCAGUGCACACUUGCAGAAUUUCUUAGAGAUUGGAAGCACAAUCCACAUCAACGGAGUUGACAAAGACGUCAUACUGCUUCGCCUUUUUCCAUUCUCAUUAGAAGGAAAAGCGAGGAAGUGGUUCUACACUCAUCAAGAUAACAUCAACAACUGGACGAACUUGUCAGAUGCCUUUCUAUCAAAGUUUUUCCCUAUAGGCAAAACAACUGCCUUAAGAGGAAAUAUUGUCAGUUUCCAACAGCAGAAGACAGAAGCCAUUUCAGAAGCAUGGGAGCGUUUUCAAGGAUACAUAUCAGAUUGUCCUCACCAUGGAAUGGCCACAUGGUUACUUAUGUAGACCUUCUACCAUGGAUUAACCCAGAAGGCUCGUGAGUGCCUAGAUGCAUCUGCUAAAGGAUCAUUCUUGGAGCUUACAACUGGAAAAGCAGAGAUACUUUUGGAUAAGAUAGCAGAAAACCAAAGCUGGUUCCAAGAUAAAGCUCAACAUUGUCAUCAAACUGAAGAAAUACUAGAAGAAAUAAAUGCAUUAUCAACUAAGAUGGAAAAUUUGCUCCAUUGGAUUGACCAGAGGGCCAAGUUCAAAGAAGAUCAAAGGGCCAUUGAGACAGCAUACAAAUAUCAACCAACUUCGAGUCAACCCAAUAGCAAAGGUAUGAAUUCAGGUAAUACUGUCAAGCAACUUUCAUUAAAAGAGAUAAUUGCUCAACAAACCAAAAUUAAUGAUGAAGUUAAACAAAGGCUAGAUACAAAUGAAUCAUCUCUAAAAGAUAUACACAAUAAAAUGGAUUUUCUACUAACCGCCUUUGAUGAGCAAAACACUCUUAAUAAAAGGGUAGAGCUUAAAUUAAUAAAGUUAGCUGCUGCACUGCCUGUUGCUACUAACAUUGAGCAGGUAAAGAAUAUAACUACUAGAGGAGGUAAAGCUACCAGAGAUCCACCAUACCCAAAAGAGAAACAAAGAACAUCAGCACCAGUGCAACCAGCAGUAAUAGAAGAAGAAAGCCCAGUUGAAGCAGAAGAUCUGCUCCAACCACCAAGAACUGGAGAAAUGAGGAAAGAUUUUUACGACACCAACUAUUUUCCAUUUCCCAGAAGAAACAGAGCACUGCAGUCGGAUGAGCAGUUUGGUAAGUUUGUAGAGGUCAUUCAGAAAUUAUAUGUCAACAUACCUCUGCUCGAUGCCAUACAGGUACCUACAUAUGCAAAGUACAUCAGAGAUAUUCUUAACAAGAAGAGACCACUGCCCACCACUAAGGUUAUCAAGCUGACGGAAGAAUGUAGUGCGGCCAUCCUCAAUAAGCCACCAAAGAAGAAGGAAGAUCCCGGAUGUCCCACUAUAGAUUGCUCGAUCGGAAACCAACACUUCAACAAUGCACUUUGUGAUCUCGGAGCAAGUGUCAGUGUGAUGCCAGUAUCAGUCUACAAAAAGCUUGAGCAUGCGACCUUAGAACCAACAUCAAUGUGCCUACAACUAGCGGAUCAAUCGGUUCGACACCCGUUGGGCAUCGCCGAGAACAUUCCAGUCAAGAUCAGAGAUUUCCUGGUGCCAGUAGACUUCGUAGUACUGGACAUGAGUCCUGACUCAAAAGUGUCCAUCAUCCUUGGAAGGCCAUUUCUGAGCACUGCCAAUGCCCACAUUGAUGUCGGGAAGGGAGAAAUCAAGUUCAACAUAAACGGUCAAGAAGAACACUUCACAUUCAAACCCAGACCAGAGAGAGACUCUACAGUGAAGGAAGUUCAAGAAGAACAACUGGAGACACCAUCUCCAGAGGAAGGUAACUCAGAAGAUUAAAAGAUUUGGAGGUCCAGCUUGGGGGACCUAAAAAUCCCAAACCCUCACCGGGAGGUAAAUCGGUAUUUAUCCGCAUUAUCAAUUUUCUCAUUCUUGCAUAAUUAAUUCUUGCAUUAGUCAUAGCAUUAUUAUAAUAAUCAAAAAGCCCCAUAUAAAUAAUAUUUGUGGUGUGUAACAACCCAUAUUUAUUAUUGUGGAGGCACAAAAAUAUUUUCCAUUAUCAUUUUCAUUAAGUUUCGAUUCUCAUAGAUUUUCCUGCAUUAUAUUUAAUCAUAUUAAUCUUCUAGAAGCAUGACCCACACUCUUUGGGUCCCACAUGUCAUACACUUCACCUCACAUACAUCCCAUCACAUAAUUUCAUCCACCAAUAUAUUUCCACUCACCUGACAUCUUUCCACCGUCCAACCACCACCAACACAACAUUAUUUUGCGUGAGAUCAAAGCAAGGAAGCAAGUGGAGGAAGCACACCCAGGAUGGACACCAGGGGUGGGCGCCCGCCCACCUACCUUGGGUGCCCGCCCUGUCCCCUGCUCAGCCUAUAAAAGGCCACCUCCAGCUUUCCUUCUCUUCACACAAACACUUCAGAAAACCACACAAAUCUCAAUCUCCCGAGAAGGAGCUUUUGUAGUGAAGAGAAGAGAGUAGAGAGAAAGAGGAGAGUGGACGAGAAAGUUGGAGUUCUUUUGAGAGAGUGUUUAUCACCUAGCAAGUAGUGAUCCCGCUGUCUAAGCGGAAGUAAAAGUUGUUUAGGGGGAGGCUCUACCAAAAUAGAAACUUGUCUUGAACGAUUAACCCCUGGACUACUGACACUCCCGACAGCUGACCACUAACAUUUUAUCUCACAUUUUCCACCAGUUGUGUUUUUGCCAACUUUUGUUUGCAGGAUGUUUAAGAAGGUGAAGAAUGCAGGGAAGGCUCUCAAGAACAUUGGUACAAGGAGUUCAUCCCGACACUCCUCACAACCAUCAGAGAUGAGUGUCGACCCGACACCCACACAAGCUCCAUCAUCUUCAUCAGGCCAGCAAGUCAAGGUCCUUCUCAAGAUAGGAGACCUAGGACUGAAGACCCGAAGAGAGAAGGAAGUCUAUCAGCAACUGAAGAACAAAGAUUUCAUUCACACCCCUACUAUCGAUCCAAUCCUACUACGAGAAACAGGUAUGGACACUGAAUUUGACUUAAUUUUUCAAAUGAUGGGUUGGACAAAUUUUUGGAAUAUAACUGAGCUGGGUUCUCGUCUUCUCACCCUCGAAUUUCUUUGUACUUUACAAUACUAUGAGGGGGGAAUUGUUUUUCGGAUGUUUAAAUAGGAAAUUAUGCUGUCUUGGAGAGAGCUGAGCGACCAUCUUGGUUUCUCUUCAAGAUGCAUCCUAAACAUCGACUCCGAUUUACCCAAUUUUGAGAGACACCAGUUUUGGAGAGAAAUAUCUAGAUAUAAGUUUUACAGUCAAGCCCGAACCAGUGACAUGGAACACCCCACUCUUAGGAUGUUUCACAAAUGGCUUGGGUACAAUCUUUUCUAUCGUGACGAUAUUAGGAAAGUAAGAGUAGGAGAUUUACAACUUUUAUAUGCUGCUAUUAGUAAAGUACCUACUUCACCUGUUACACUAUUAGUUUCACAUUGGCUUAGUAUACCUAGUCUGCAGGGACCAGUAGGAUGUACUUCACUUAUCACUCGUCUAGCCACUAAUCUUCACUUACUAGAAAACUCAUCAUUGGACUUCAUAGGAGAAUUAAGGAUUUAUCAUGGCUAUGACACAUUUAGACAAGCUCGGAUGUUAAAGAAAGAGGGGAAUAUAAUGUAUAUGCUAUAUGAUGAUAAAGGCAAGAUUCGGUUACCUAACCCGAACCUUGGCCUCUACUCUGUGCAAAACUUUUUGAUUGAGAUUGCAGCAACACCAGUGAACCAGAGAACUCCACAGCGAGUGGCAUCUGAAAGGAUAACCACUCACCGAGAACGCACUUGGUAUGGAGCUGACCCUGGACCAGAAGAAGCAGCGCACCUGCAUUAUUGCGAUUACAAUCCACGAGUCCUUCGAGACCCAUGGGCUCGAUAUGCACAACCACAAGAGCCAACAGAGGAGACAUGGCCGGAGAGCCAAGAUCACCAGUGGACAAACCCGCCUUUUCAUACGUGCAGGUACUCCACUGAUCCAUAUGGAGCUUCAGGAUCCAGACCUCCACCCCAAUUUGAUGCAGGACGAUACUCCGACGCCUCCUACGCCUUCACGAAUGACUACUAUCAAGAGGCCGAUGCUUUCUUUACUCGUACCGACAACACCCUCCUCAACAUCCAGAACACGCAAGCAGAACAUGGAAGACUCCUGGAAGAGCAACAAAAAUGGAACCAGGACCAUGCCGCUACAGUAGAAGAGCUGAGACAAGAUACAACAACAAUGAACGACAACAUCACAACCAUGAUGCGAUUCUGGAACAUCGGGUAAGACCGACGUCAACAUCCAGCUUGGGGGAGUUCCUCCCAAAUUUAUCAAGUAAGUUUUUAUUUGCUCUUCUUAUUUAUUCUAUUCUGUCUUAGUAUUUAAUUUUACCGACGUCAACAUCCAGCUUGGGGGAGUUCCUCCCAAAUUUAUCAAGUAAGUUUUUAUUUGCUCUUCUUAUUUAUUCUAUUCUGUCUUAGUAUUUAAUUUAUCUUAAAAGGAAAAGCUUAGAAAACCAAAUAAAUAUUUUCUUGCUUUAAUUUACUGCACUUUAUAAACAUGAAAACAAAAUAAAAAGAGUGUGUAGAUAAGUGUGCUUUAUCUUCCUGCUAAGUUUAAUCUCUAGAAAAAUAAAAAGACCAAAAAUAUACAUGAUGGAAAUGAUGAAUAGUUGCUCUGUUUGCUCACUUACAAGUACCUAGCUUUUAUAUUAGAAUUCUUCCAGGAAUUACUAAAACUAAAAUUACUAUCUUUGGGAAAGCAUAAACUAAAGUCUAGGUAAGAGAAAGGCAUGAUAUAAAGUUGAGCUACUGUUUAUCUCGUUCCUACUACACUAAAUUCUGGAGAUUUAUUUUUGAAAACUUACAAAUCACAUGAUGAGUUCCUAGCAUAACAAACUACCUACCACAGCCAUACUUGCUAUAACAUCUUUACUAUAUUCACAUUGAGUUUGAUCGAGAUGUGUUGACCCUUAGGAGCUUUUCAUGUGGUUAAAUUAAGAUAUUCACUUGCACGCAUCUACCACAGCAUUCAUUAUCAAUCAUUAAAAUUGCUAAAAAUAUUAUCACUCACUGUCCCGAAUAUUGUUAUUCUCUCUCUCUAAAAAGAUUCAAUGCAGAAGAGGCAUGGGUUAUGCAAAAAAAAUAUAUAUACGAGGAAAUAAAAAGGGGCAAGUGCCCGGAACCUCGAUAAAAGAAAAAGAGUGAGACGAGAGGUAAAAAUGGACAAGUGUCCGAAGUAGAAUUAGGGGUACAAAGAUGCCCACUUGAGCGGAAAAAAUGGACAAGUGUCUGACAGUAGAAUUAGGGGUAUCCACUACCCAUCUAAAAAAAAGAUAGCCCAUGUUCUCCCAAAGCAAAGAUCAAAGAAGAGGAGAGAUAGCAAUAUGAGGAGCAAUGAGAAGUAAAUUUUAUUAUCACUUAUGCAUUUUCACCAUCACUAUCAUUUACUCCAUCACACAUGCACAUCUUGAUUUAAUUAUAUGCUGAGUUCCUUUGGAUCCAUGGCUCGAUUAGACAACAUAUGUAUGAGCUGUUUGCACUCCUAAGAGCUCCACUUAAUUAUUCUAUUAGCUAUAGGCAAGUGAUAUUAUGGUAAGGAUCCACAAAUACUACAUAUAGAGAGACUUGAGAGAAUCAUUGCUGGGAACUCUGAGUUUUAUUUUAAAAACUUAUGAAAAACUCUAGAACAAAGGUGAAGUAUAGACAGGAGGGAUAGUGCUUGACUUAACUAUUUUGUCUUUCGAUUACUUAAGACUUAAGUGCAGGUACUAAACUUCAUAACACUUCACUGUAAUCUGGAAGAAUUUUUAUGUAAAAGCAUGUGUGCCUGUCAUGAAAGAAAACAUCGAAGCAACUCCUGAUCCGUCUGAGUUUAGCUAUUUGCUCAGGGACGAGCAAAGGGUAAGCUUGGGGGAGUUUGUUGACGGUCCUUAAGUACUAAAAUUAAUAAUCAAAUAAACAUGAAAAAGGAUCAAUAUGAAACAAACAUCUAGAAUUAGGGUUUUAUCUGACAGAAUUCCACGAGUUUUGGUGUUUAUCUAUUUCUGCAGGGGUUUAUCAGAAAAUAGGGAGAGAAGGCCCACAUGUCAUGUUUACAACGAGAUAAUUACGUGCCGCGCAAUUUUCCUUGAUCUGGAAGGAUCCAGAAGCCACGGGAACGAACGAGAGGGGAUUCGGGCUCGGGGGCUGGGCGACCGCCCACCCCCCUUGGGCGCCCGCCCAGGUGGAGAGUCCAAUCAGGACUCUGCUUCGGGACAAUCCUCCACCGACCUAAAGGAUCAAUCUAAACCAUACAAUCUAUGUCGGUUUGAUCCAAUGGCUCACGUUCACUUGAGGGGACUAUAAAACCAGACCCCCUGGCCCCUGGAGGAGAGGAGGAGAAAUCAUUAUUCAGAGGUAGCCAUCAAAGUUAGGGUUUAGAGCUUCUCUCCCACAGAGAAUUAGAAUUAGCUACUCCCUAAUCCUUCAAGUUUAGAGGUUUGAUUAGAUAGCAAUUAGAGAAGUAGAGCACUACGCUCUGGAUUCGGAUCUUCGGUAAUAAAGAUUGGUAUUAUUCAUAUCUUUCUCUAAUUCUAUUGUUCUAAUUGCAUUAUGUCUCUAAUUAUUAUGUUCUUAGUUUGCUCUAGUUCUAUAUUUGAUAUAGUUCUAAUUGAUAAUGAGUUUAUGUAUAAGUUUGCAAAGCGCUUAGCUCUUGUCGCGAGGGAGUUAGGUGAUAGAUCACAUGUGAGCGUGGUGCUUAGAUGUUAUUUAUCUGCAAAUGUAUCCUAUUGGCCGAGUCGUGUGGUAGUUCGCGAUAGUGACAGCUUCGUUGAUUCUUAUAUAGUCCACCCUCCGUUGAUAGGACAGGCAGAACCGGUAUUGUGGAGUACGUCAUGCGAUGUUCUGAUUUACUUUAUCAAUGUUCCUUAUACAUGAAUGAAGAGUCUUUUAUGCUAUAUAUGAUCUUGUAGAUAACUAUAGUAGAUUAUUACUUAGUAGUUAGUAGAUAACUUAGAAUCCAUUCUCUAGCUAAUCCGACAUCACCUACAUAUAUGAGGAGUAGUCUAUUUUCUAAUUGCUGUGCUCUUUACCCCAUGAACUUAUACUUUAUUAUCAUUAUCUUUAUGGUUUACCCCCUGCUAAAGUAUGUGACUGUGUGACGAGUUUCUCAUUAGUAAUCAUGUUCUUGCAAGUUUAUCUCUAGUCUAUGCCUUGAUAGAUUUUGCCCCCUUUGAUUUAAUUCCAUCUUCCUCAGAUCCCUAAGCAAAAUUAUAAAUAACGAUACCUGGAAUACUUAUCCUGGUGAAAUGCUACAAUGAGGUGUUUUAUCUGUGUGCUUGCGGAUAGAAUAGAUUAUUUUCUAGAGAGCCUUUACAUUUAUAAAUACCUUUGUACACUCUGGCGCCAUGCUAGGGAUGACAACCUAGUAUCUAAGUGGUGUUAGCUAGUGUCAACAGAAAGCUUCCACAAGGUGAUACUAUACCAUCACUCUUCAAGUAAGGUAAUAUCUUAAGGUACAUGACUAUCACUUUUAUAAGUUUCUCCUUGGUUCUGGCGUUCACAUGAGCAAAAGAGACAAACAUGUAUGAUUUACAACUCUAGAUUAACCAACCCAAUAUAUUCAACAUGUUUAGUCCUUCCACCUUUGUGAUCCCACACUCCUAAUCUUAUGAACUAAAAUGUUGCACACUCAAUCUUUGGAAGAUAUAUUUUAUAAAAAAAACAACAUAAAUAUAGAUAAAUUAUCUUUCCAUUAGGUUGAGCGAUUUGAUCUGACAAAUGUUUUAAAUGCUACACUCAUGAUCAUAUUAUUCAUCAACUUUGUCUUGCUCACUAUGCUUAAGGAUAGAGAAGAACAAAUACACUUUUGGUUUUGUUGGUGUUUUCCACCAACAGGGCCCAUGCACUUGAUCUCUGCCUUGUCUAUGAGCAGGUACACUUCGAGUAAAAUAUGAAGGACUUUUACAAUUCCCAGACUCCACCAAGUGAAGUACCUAGAUCUACGAGCACAAACACACUGGAGAUACUGGACACUCAGGCAAUCACUGCCCUGAGAUGCUUGAGGACGUAACUACUGGAGUAACCCCAUUGUGGAAGUAAUUACUGACCUUCUGCUGGUCAAGAGAGACAACCCAGGAUGCCCCGUCAUCCCGAUCUCCAUCGGCAUGGUGGACUUCCUAGAAGCACUCUGCAACUUUGGCUCCAGCGUCAACAUUAUGCUCAGGGUACUCUAUGAAAAAUUCUUUACACAUCCUUUCCUAGAAACAACCAUGUGUUUGCAGCUUGCAGAUCAGACACUAAGUUUCCCAAAGGGAAUAUUGAAGAACCUCUACAUCCGAGUUGGUACCUUAUACGCUCCAGCAGACUUCGUGGUGAUAGAGACUGAUACUGAUGAGAGGGCACCCAUCAUCCUAGGGAGGCCAUUCCUGAACACCUCGAGAGCUGUCAUCUACGCUAGUGCUGCCAAGAUCAGUUUCUACAUCAAGGGGAAGAAGGAGACGUUUUCCUUCAAGAACAAGACUACACAAAUCUUAGAGCAAUCCCGACAUGAAACAAGGAAGAGGACCAACAGGAGGAACAAAAACAAGCAAAUGUGGACCAAGUCAGCAAAGAUGGUCACUGCAGUUCAAGGAGGUCAAGAUCGUCGACUUAAAUCACCGUUCCUAACCAAAAAGGACGACCCAAGUAUGCCAAGCAUCCAGUGCUCCAUUGAUGGAUACAACUUCCAGAAGAUACUUUGCGACACCGGGUCAGGCGUCAACAUAAUGGCCGCCAGUCACCUAUCGGCUCCUAUUCGGAACCAUGCCCCUAAAACCGACAUACAUUCAGCUUCAGAUGGCAGAUCAGACAUUUUGAAACAUUGAAGGUUAUUGACAUGGGAGAAGACGAGUACGAUCCACCCAUCGUCCUUGGAAGACCGUUCUUUGGCACCAUUAAAGCAAUCAUAUACAUUGGAACCAGAGAAGUCCACAUGCACUUCCCCUCAGAGAAGGUACGCCACUGUUUUACUGACCCUAACUAUAUAGUUGAAGACUCUAAGCAGGUCAGGACAAAAAGAAGAUGACGCAACCGCAACCAGAGGAGGCAAAUCAUCAAGGAUGGAUGGGCAGACUACGAAGGAGAAGUUGUAAGGUCUGAAGACAUACAACUUGAACAGAACUGUCCUGAGGAGACCGUAGCACUGAGGCAGGUGUAGAGAGAGAAGAUAGUUAUACACGAAGAGCAGGCACCGCCGGAACCACCGACUACGCCAUCCAGCGAAUCCCAGGACGACUAAGAAAACGGAGAGUCCCGUUCGGAGGACGUAAAAACACCGAACGCCUUUCCAAAAGGUAAACUUGGUAGUUAUCUUUUUCCUUUCAAUUAUUUAAAAUAGUUUGGUUAGUUAAUCAGGUUCAUAUCAUCUUGAAAAGAAAAUAAAAAUGUUAAGUAAGCCCCAUGUAAGUAUGCUCAUGGCAUAAAACCCAUAAGUACAUUCACUAUGGUGGCAUAAAAAUAAAAUAAAUAUAUUCUUGUCCUAUAAAAAUAAAAAUAUAAAAAUAAGAUUGUGAUCCUACUAAAAAGAGUGUAACAUUUAUUGAGGAGGCUCAACAUGAUAAAGGCUAGAUAUUUAUGCUAACACUUAACUAGUUCCACAAAGCUUUGUUGUCUAUUUGAGCUCCACAGAAUUCAAGGAUCAAAGAAGACUAGCAGACGGAGGACAUCCUAAUCGCUUUCAGAGUGCUGCCGACAUUCAAAUACACCUCCGCCACCUGCUAGCUACAUCAGAAGAAAAUUCGUCAAAAUCCAGCUUGGGGGAGAGCACCCCCAUUUAUCCAGCUAAGUGUUCUACUCAUCUUUAUACUUUACUGAAAUAAUAAAAAGAUGCAUAAUCAUAAAAACCCAAAUAAAGAUUUUGUGCUUAUAUAUAUAUAUCUUUGCUUAGUUUGCUAAAUAAAUAAAUAAAUAAAGUUUGCUAUGAACCCUCAUGAUAAGCUCUCACAUGGAAAUAAUGAAUAGUUGCUCUGCCAUGAUUAGUUCUAAAAAUUGAAACCUCUCUUAAGUUUAGGCAUGACUGUUAUUAAUUAAGAUUUGCUCUAAACCUGAACUUGUGGGGAGAGUACUUGAUCCAAAGUCUAAGUCGUUAAGGAUACGAUAUGGGAAGGUUGAGCUGCUGUUUAUGUGUUCCUAGAGAUGCUAGAAUUCUGGAGAAUUUUAUCUUUGAAAAUCUUUAAAUUGUUGCAUGAUGAGUUCCUGUAUGAUGAGAGUUUAAAUUCCUACCACAGCCAUAUAUACAUGCUUGCUAGACUUUGAGCCACACAUUUACUUUUUACUUCUUAUGAGCAUUGAGUGUGGUCAAGCUUUGUAGACCCUUAGGAGCUUGUCAUGUGGUUAAAUCAAGAUUCACUUGCACGUUCACUCAUACAUGCUGCUUCUACUCCGGAAGUACGCAUCCACAUAUAUCCAUCCAUUUCCAUCUCCAGAACCACCCAAAAAUAUUCUACUCCUAAUCCGGGAGAGAAUAGCCAAAAAUAUUCCUGUUUUUCCCCUGUGAAAUAAAUGCUCAAGUUAUCUUGUUACUACCACUUGCUAUAUUAUCUCAUGAGAUGAGUGCUCUAAAAAAAAGAAAAAAAAAGAAAAAAAAUAUAUAUACGAGGAUAUAAAAAGGGGCAAGUGCCCGGAACCUCGACGAAAAGAAAAAGUGAGACGAGAGGUAAAAAUGGACAAGUGUCCGAUAGUAGAAUUAGGGGUACAAGAUACCCACCAGAGAGAAAAGAAAAAGAAAACAUAGAGCAUCUCAUUCUCCUCAAAAAGUUUCAAAAGAGCAAGAAAGGUAUGUAUCCGUUCAAAAGAGCACAAGUAGAAUUAGACGUUCACCAUUGUUAUCACCAUCAUCACCAUACACCAUUCAUUCGCCACACAUGCACAUCUUGAUUUGACUUAUUGACUUGUUCUUCUGGAUCCAUGGUUUGACUAUGCAAUAAAUGUCUUGUAAGUAUGUAUUAGCUGUCUCCCACCUAUGAGCUCCAGAUAUCAAAACCUUAUUAGAGUAGGGUGAGAGAGAAGGCAAUGCCACUAUGCUUCAUACUACAAAUACCACAUACUUUGAGAGAAGGCAUACACCUUUACUGCCUUGGUAAGGAUCUAGAAAUACCACAAAAGAGAGACUAGAGAGAGUCAUAUAAGGAAUCUCUGAGUUUUAUUUGAAAAUCUGCAAAAACUCCAGAGCUAUAGUUGAUCAAGAACAUGAGACAUGGCGCUUGACUAGACCGUUCUAUCUUUUAACUGCUCAAAACACAGGUGAUGGUCGCAAGCCCCAUGGUGAAAGGUAAAUGAGUAAGUUUUAAGUCUUAACAGUUUACUCUAACUUAGAGAUAAAAUCUUGUGUGAAUGCAUGUAUAUCUUUAAGGCAUGAAACCACUGCAGAAACUCUUGAGUUCAUCUUUGCUCAGGGACGAGCAAAGGUUAAGCUUGGGGGAGCUUGUUGACGGUCCUUAAUGCUCACAUUUAACCAUCAACUAAUCAUAGAAAAGGAUCCAAAUGCAACUAACACCUAGACUUAGGGUUUUAUCUGACAGAAUUCCACAAGUUUUGGUGUUUGUCUAUUUCUGCAGGGGGUUAUCAGGAAAUACGGAAGAAAGGCCCACACGUCGGGUUUACAUAGAGAUAUUAACGUGCCGCACAAUUAUCUACCAUCUAGAAGACUCCAGAAGCCAUGGGACCAAAGCGGAGGCCGAGAGGGCUCAGGCACUGGGCGCCCGCCCUACCUUACUGGGCGCCCGCCCUCCCCCCUGGACCAAACAGAGUCCAAUUCGGGGACAACACUCCACCGACCUAAUACUUCAAGGAAAACCACACGAUCAAUGUCGGUUUGAUCCGACGGCCCAGAUUCAAUUGAAGGGACUAUAAAACCAGACCCCCCUGGCCCCUGGAGAUCAUACCUCUUCUACAGAAUCAAAGCUAGGGUUUCAAUUCUUCAUCCAAGUAGAGAGGAUCCCUCUAGUUCUUCUAGUUCUAGUUCUUCUAGUUCUAGUUCUAGUUAGUUCUAGUUGUAAUCUAGAAAAUAGGGAGAGAUAAGAGGAGAGCGGAGGAGGAUCCGGAUCUGUCGGAUCUUCCUCAACAUUAUACUUUUGCAGCAUCUGGUUCGUUCUUCAUCGUUCUCUAGGUUCUUCAAUUCAUAACUCCUGAGUUCUCUAAUUACUUUUAUUUACAUUCAAGUUAUUUAUUGGAUUCCCGCUUGCAUCAAGUGCUCUAGUCUUUAUAACGCUAGAGUAGUAAUUAAUAGAUUAGACGUGGUGUUUAGUCUUGCAAUUACCUGGAAUUGCACCCAAUCCUGCGGAUUGUUGUGGUAGCCUUAGGGUAGUGACAGCCCUAACGGUCGAUGUAUUCCACCACGUUCGGAUCGGUGUUUGUAGGACCGUAGUCAGACCUUCCUAGCCCCCUUCUCAUCUCUUUCUGUGGUUAGUGCUCUGAUGUCCCGAUAUAGAUAAUCUUAAAGUAAUUCUUGAUUCUUAGAUCAACUAGAGAACUCUCAGGAAACUUCCUCUCUUCCCACCAAAAAUAAUCAUAUUAGUUAUCCUUGGGCGAUCUUGGAUCUUAGUUAGUACACUCACGUUCCCUGUGGAAAAUCGAUACUCUGGAAUACUCCCGGG
rnacentral:lncRNA from 1 species